rnacentral:lncRNA from 1 species
CUCUUCUUCCUCCAUUCCUUCAGAGCACCAUUUCCGGGAUCCGGAUCUGGUACUGUGUAUGUACCCAAGCCCCUUAAAGAAUCUAAUUUAAAUCUGGAAUUAGCCCAAUAAAAAGAAACAACCACGUUUAAAACAACUUAAUUUUAUCUGGUAAAUAUAUUAAAGUAUAUAGGCUGGAAACCCGAACGUGCGGACUAUUGAUCUGUUCUAAGUCAGAUCUGGGUCCAAAGGCUUCACUCUGUGUAGCAUCGAUCUGGUUUAACAACGCCACGUAUCAAUUAGUUAUUAAAAUUGACUAACCGCGUUCAAAUUUGUUUGAACAUUGUAUGAUCCAAAGAAUUCCAUAAUCAAAGCUGGUAAUUUAUUAUUUUAUAAAAUUUGGAAAAGCCGAUCCAUUAAUUGAUUUAUUUAAAAGUUUUUAAUAUUGAGAUCUAACGAAAGCACAUCCAUCCUUCGAUCCUAUUUCCUUCUGGUAUCAGAGAUACCAGCUUUAGAUUAAGUAGAUUUGUUUUAGAGCAUACAAUGAUCAAACAAAUUUGAACGCGGUUGGUCAAAUUUUUAGAAUAUUUAAAGUACGUGGCGUUGUUAGACCAGAUCGAUCGCAGAAGUUAAUCUGCCUUUGGACCCAGAUCUGACUUAGAACAGAUCAAUAGUCCGCACGUUCGGGUUUCCAGCCUAUAUACUUUAAUAUAUUUACCAGAUAAAAUUAAGUUGCUUUAAACGUGGUUGUUUCUUUUUAUUGGGCUAAUUCCAGAGUUAGAUUAGAUUCUUUAAGGGGCUUGGGUACAUACACAGUACCAGAUCCGGAUCCCGGAAAUGGUGCUCUGAAGGAAUGGAGGAAGAAGAGAAGAUUUACAACUGAGCUGCUGUACGGCCAAGGCGGAUGUACGGUACAGCAGGAAAUUGGUUUUCUAUACGAGCCAAUUGCUUUCCAAUUGUAUUUAAGUUAGUAUUACAGAAAUUAUUCUGUUGUAUAAUACUACUUAAAUUCGCAUCAGAAUCAUUUGGUCUUGGGAUUUUGUAAGGGGAUGCUUUAAUCUCAAUAGGAGGUUCACCAUGAUNNNNNNNNNNNNNNNNNNNNNNNNNNNNNNNNNNNNNNNNNNNNNNNNNNNNNNNNNNNNNNNNNNNNNNNNNNNNNNNNNNNNNNNNNNNNNNNNNNNNNNNNNNNNNNNNNNNNNNNNNNNNNNNNNNNNNNNNNNNNNNNNNNNNNNNNNNNNNNNNNNNNNNNNNNNNNNNNNNNNNNNNNNNNNNNNNNNNNNNNNNNNNNNNNNNNNNNNNNNNNNNNNNNNNNNNNNNNNNNNNNNNNNNNNNNNNNNNNNNNNNNNNNNNNNNNNNNNNNNNNNNNNNNNNNNNNNNNNNNNNNNNNNNNNNNNNNNNNNNNNNNNNNNNNNNNNNNNNNNNNNNNNNNNNNNNNNNNNNNNNNNNNNNNNNNNNNNNNNNNNNNNNNNNNNNNNNNNNNNNNNNNNNNNNNNNNNNNNNNNNNNNNNNNNNNNNNNNNNNNNNNNNNNNNNNNNNNNNNNNNNNNNNNNNNNNNNNNNNNNNNNNNNNNNNNNNNNNNNNNNNNNNNNNNNNNNNNNNNNNNNNNNNNNNNNNNNNNNNNNNNNNNNNNNNNNNNNNNNNNNNNNNNNNNNNNNNNNNNNNNNNNNNNNNNNNNNNNNNNNNNNNNNNNNNNNNNNNNNNNNNNNNNNNNNNNNNNNNNNNNNNNNNNNNNNNNNNNNNNNNNNNNNNNNNNNNNNNNNNNNNNNNNNNNNNNNNNNNNNNNNNNNNNNNNNNNNNNNNNNNNNNNNNNNNNNNNNNNNNNNNNNNNNNNNNNNNNNNNNNNNNNNNNNNNNNNNNNNNNNNNNNNNNNNNNNNNNNNNNNNNNNNNNNNNNNNNNNNNNNNNNNNNNNNNNNNNNNNNNNNNNNNNNNNNNNNNNNNNNNNNNNNNNNNNNGAAAAUAAUGUUAGGAUUUCAAAUACCUAGAUUUCUUUUCUUUAUGACAACUUGCAGUGAAGAUUUUCCACUUGCCAACUUAUACCGCUAGGCAGACUUCUCAAAAUAUAUUCUAGAACGUCUGUGUUUCCCAUUUUAAUUGCCAAUGAUAAGGGGCUCUUGUCUUCAAUAUUCUUGCAACAAGAUAGUUUAGGAUCCAACAAGACAAGAAAAUGUGCUAUAGCCACCAAGGAGUUGAUAAUAUUUGUCUUGAUUGUGUCGUCUAUGGCUAGUGUAGGAUUUGAUAAGAAAUAGGAACGAACCAUAGUCAGAAAACUACCAGCAGUAUUUGUCCUGCAUACAUUUACUAUGCCUAGCAUAAACAAGGCUUCACGCAAAGCUGUGUUUCCUAUUGCAUUCUCCAUCCUUAGCAGAUCCACUGGUGCUUGCGACAUACUAGGAAUGUGCUUAGCAAAGUCGAUAAGUGCGGUGGCUGUGUUUAACUUCCCAGCUCGAGCAGCACAGUAAAGAGGAGUAUCUCCUUGGUUGUUCGUCUUGUUGAUAAAAAACGGAUAAUACUGGGCUAUCUUCGCAGUAAUUUUACCAUGACCAGACUUAGCCGCCACAUGAAGUAAACUACUACCAUCAGGCAAGACUUUCUCGAAAAUAUGAUGUAGAAUGUUUCCAUUCCAAUCUUCUAAAAGUAGAAGCUCCAGUUUGUGCUGAUUAAUUAACUGUAGCCCAUCUGAAAUUGAAAACAAAAAGCAUAUUAAUAUAUCUUUUAUAAUAAAUUUUGAAAUAGAAAACUCUACCUUUAAGAUAAAAGAAGUGGAAAAUAAUGUUAGGAUUUCAAAUAUCUAGAUUUAUUUUCUUUAUAACAACUUGCAAUGGAGAUUUUCCACUUGACCAACUUAUACCACUUGGCAGACUUCUCAAAAUAUAUUCUAGAACGUCUGUGUUUUCCAUUAAAAUUGCCAAUGAUAAGGGGCUCUUGUCUUCAAUAUUCUUGCAACAAGAUAGUUUAAGAUCCAACGAGACAAGGAAAUGUGCUAUAGCCACCAAGGAGUCGAUAAUGUUUGUCUUGAUUGUGUCGUCUAUGGCUAGUGUAGGAUUUGAUGAGAAAUAAGAACGAGCCAUAGACAGAAAACUAUCAGCAGUACUUGUCCUCCCUACAUUGACUCUGCCUAGCAUAAACAAGGCUUCACGCAAAGCUGUGUUUCCCAUUGCAUUCUCCAUCCUCAGCAGAUCCACUGGUGCUUGCGACAUACUGGGAAUGUGCUUAGCAAAGUCGACAAGUGCGGUGGCUGUGUUUAACUUCCCAGCUCGAGCAGCACAGUGAAGAGGAGUAUCUCCUUGGUUGUUCGUCUUGUUGAAAAAAAAUAGAUAAUACUGGGCUAUCUUUGCAGUAAUUUCACCAUGACCAGACUUAGCCGCUGUUGAGUGUUAGAAAAUGUAUAUUUAUAAAGGAAAAAUUUGUCAUUUUACACUUUAAGUUCCACUAACAUUCCUAAUUUUAUUUAUUUAAGUUUCUUGUCAUUUAAUUAUGUGUGUUGUAUUAUAAUUAUGUAUUUUAUGUAUUUUAGGCAAAGGCAGCAAAAAGGAAAUUGAAGGACGGUCUUUCUGUCGAGCGAGUGAAUCAAAACGGCACCGGAGAGAACCAGAGAAACUGUCGUUUAGGCCGUUAUUGUUGUAAGCCCAAAUCACGUGUCUUUCACAUGGAUUAUAAAAGUCAAAAGCUCAGUGAAAUGUUCUUGGCAAGAACGAAUCUUUGCAUUUGAGAGCCUGUUGUGAUAGCUACUGGGUCACCAGGGCCCCGCGAGCAGGUUGAUUCAUCAGGUUUUACUCUGACAGAGAAAAAUGAGUCUCUUGUUUUGUCAGAUUGAUGCACAUUACUGGUUUGAUAAUAUGCCCAAGAAAGUCUCUUAACACAAGAAUUCAGUCAUCUCUUUUGAUUUAGCAAAGUUAUUGCUGCAAGUUUUGCAGUAUGGUCCAUUUUUAAGCCUUAGUUAGUUUCUUGUUCUCGUUUUUAUAACGGGCAGUUACUUUAAUCAUUUAGCUGACUGGAUCUUUUUUAAAGUUGAAUUAUAAUUUUGUGACCCUUCUUGAUACUAUUGGCACCCCCUCUUUUCUUUAUUUAUCCAACUUAAAAAUAAUUUAAAUGUCUUAUAACAACUCUCUUAAUGAAAAAAAAAACCUUAAAUGAAUAUUUUCUCAUGAAACCUCUAUAUUUCAAUUCAUUCUUAUUGUUCAAAUCCAAUGUUUUCACUUCAGUUUCCUUUUGUUCAAAGCCAUUAUUGAAAAUACCGUUCCUUGGGGAUGUGAAAUUUAUUCAAGCUAGCCAUUGAGUUUGCCCUUCUCCGUUGAAUUCAAUUGCCGAAUGAAGGAAGAAAGCAAGAGAAAGGAAAUACGAUUGGUCAUUAAGGAGAUCAAGAUUUUUUUUUCUCUAUUUACAUGUUUUGGUUAAAAAAGCGUUUUAAUUUCUCAAUUUAUGACCCAAUUAUUUUUAGCACAUAAUCAGAGAGCUCAAAAUUUGUUUGUCUAGUACGCUACUGUGUUCUUAGCAUAAUUUCAUUAUGACUGCAGAUAGCCUCUAUUCCAUAUUUGAUUUGGAAAAUGAAUCAUAAGGCUUUCGAUUUUUCCUUUUUUUGUGUUUAUAAAUAAAAAUAAAUAAAUAUGUUCAAUUCAAGAGAGGAAAAAAAGAAAGAAAGAAAAGAAAAGAGGGUUUUUGAUACAAGUGCUAAAAAAAAGUUGUUUAAUAAUAAAUAAUACAUAUGACAUGCGGGUGUAAAUAGUUUUUCAAAAAAAAAAAAUAGUGGUAUUUAAUAUGAUGGUUUAAUUAGAUAUAUAUGUUUGUCUUUUAAUAUAAUUCCAAUGAACUAAAAGGGGUUAGAUGGGAUUUUAGAGGUACUCCUUAUUAAAACAUAUUGUAGAUCAAUCAUUUUAUCGAGUCCAAAAGUAUCCUUUGGGCCAGUAGCCCAGUGGAACUCAUUCUCUUAACUUAUGUUCAGGAAAUGGGUUCAAGUGUUAUGGGGUUCAUUCCGGGUAAUUUUUAAAAACCUCCCCUGAGAUUUGGGCUUGUUGCAAGUAGAUGGUGAAAAUUUGUUUAUUUGUAAAAAAUCCCCUACCGUCAGUUAACUUUAACAUUGACCGUUAGUUGACUGUGCAAAGACAAUAUUACCCUUAACAACAGUUUGUAUACGGAAAUAACUAAAAUAAAAAUUAAAAUUGUUGGCGCGAAAAGCACAAAUUCUAUUUUUUGACAAUUUUAUCCUUGUCAAUUCCAAAGAUUUACAAUAUCAUAUGUAAAGAUUAUAACUAUUUCAUUUUCAAGUUUUUAAUUUUAUCUUUUUUGUAGGAACUUUAAGAAAAUAUCAAUUUUUUUUACAAAUAAAUAAAUUCUCGCCAUCUACUUGCAAUAAGCCCAAACCUCAGGGGAGGUUUUUAAAAAUUACCCGGUUCAUUCCCAUUGAAUGAAAAAUAUUUCUCCUUAUUUGUGAGUGGGACAUUUUUUCCAAACUCAAUGCUCACCAGACCUCGGAGUUGUAUUAUAUGCGUCUGUAUCUAGAGUUUUAAUAAAUUUCAAAUUGUAAAUUUCUAUUGAUUAUAACAACUUAACCAAAAAAAAAAAAUCCAAUCAGAAGAAUGAUUUGGGACACAAUGUGAUCAACAACGUGAGAUUAGUAUAAAUAGUAUCUGGCUUGUCUUAUCAUUUUUCCUCCUUUUUAUGUUAUGUGAUUGACUAGUUCAGAUACUUUCAAUUAGAUUCACAUCGUGAUAAAAUGGACUUUCAGUAAAUUGUCGCCAGUAAAUUAAUGCAUGUAUCGACUUUAUCAUGACAAACUGUUUUAAAUAUACAUACAUGUACAUGUGAAGUCAGUUCAACAUACAUGUACAUGUCAAAAAAUAUCAAUUAAUCCUGUCAUUACAAAUUAUAUAUGAAUAUCGUUUAAAUAUAUAUACUGACAUACAUGAAUGACCAAACGAAGCCUCGUCAUUCAUAAGUCCAGUAAACUUAUAUGGAUCAAAAUAAUAAUUCUACCGACCAAUCUCAUUAAUAAUUUUUUUUAAUUUUUUUUAAUGCGCUUCUUACUAUGCUGAAAUUACGGCAGCCAUCCUAUUUGAACUUACUUAUGCAAAAGGUUGACGACAACUAGACAUUAGUGUGUACAAAUAUAAAGGUAGUUGUGAUUAUAUCAUUACUUUUUUUAAUAUCAUAUUCCAUAUAUAAUGAGGAAAAUUAGUGUUAAUUCUUUCCAUUGUGUGCAAUAACAAAUGCAACGCAGUUACGUAUAGCUCGUGACAUCAAAUUACAUCAAUUGGAGGUUCAAGGUAACUAAAAGUUAUGAACAACGAAUUCUAUAUUAGUCAAGCUAUUUUCUUUUACUCCAUUAUCUCAAUACGUUGACAUUGUUUGAUUAUUUGCAUGAGUUUUGAUGAUUAAUGUAUCUUACAUAAUCAUGUAAUUUAAAAUAACCAAAAUUUUGACAACUAAACUAAAUUUAAUUUUUUUGGGUACAAUUUUUGGAUGUCAUUAUGAACAUUCUAUAUUUUUAAAACUCUUGAAACGAAAAAAGUAUUCAAAUGGGUUUAACUAUAUUUCUCCAAAAUAUAUAUAUAUAUAUAUAUAUAUAUAUAUAUAUAUAUAUAGGUUUGACAAUAGCUGUAAUAAGUAUCACAAAAUAUGAAUCCGGUAAACUUGUUGCCACUAGAAUGAAGCAAUCACAACAAAAAUGCAAGCAUCGAAAUUACAGAUAUAUAUAAUUGUCCUGCGACAUAAAUAUAAUACUAAUCACAUUAAGUACAUAAGUUGAGAAUGAGGACCUUUUUGAUAAAAUGAACAAACUAAAUCCUUAUUCAAUAAAUGAUUAAAAAUUAGGGAGCCACAAGAAGAAAGCCAUUUUUUUGAAAAAAAAAUCUAGGUAAGACAAAAAUGAUUCUGAACACUCUUGCUUGAAUAAAAUAAUUAUUACAAAAUUACCUAUCAAUUUUAGCCGAUUUGCCAAAAUUUGUGAUAAUUAAUGUGUUAUUCUGUCUAUUAAAACUCCAUCAAACUCUAUUAAAACUCCUUAGUCUAUUAAACUCAUCGCAAUAAUUAAUGUUUAGCCUUCGAUGAAGAUUCCAAACCAAAUUUUAGUUUUAAAUAGUAUGAUAUAUAUAGCAUGUUAUUUUUAAUUUUUUUAAUAUUAAUGAUAAUAAAACAAUCAACUAUUACUUAACAUUCUAUUGAUUGCACAUCAUUGAUAUAAAAUUAUCCAAGUUUUAAAGCUUAGGGUUAUUUUGGGGGAAAAACUUAAUAUUUAAAAAAUGAUGAAUCUCACAGUAAAACCCGCUCUAUCACGUAAAAAAAAUAAAAAUUCAUUGAACCGGCCCAUCGCCUCAACAUUUGUAUUAUAUUUAACGCGUUAUUUUAUUGAUUAAUAUUAUUUAAUUAUUUUACAUAAAUAAUAAUACAAAAGUCAAUUAUUACUUAACAUUUGUUGGUGUUAUAUAAUUCAUAUACAGUAGUCUAAGUAUCUAACUUAGGAUUAGUUUGGGGUAAAAACUUGUGAUCCAAUGAUACUUUGUCGCAUGUCAUAGUAGUGGGUUACAAAGAGCGAUCAUCAUCGGUGUAUUUGACUAAACUUAAUAUUUAAAAAGUUUAUAGAUUCGUUGUAGGACCUACUAUACGACACUGAAGUUGUGGUCUGGUCUCACGCAAUUUUUAUUUUUUAUGUUCUGGGAGUAGAGUGCUACAAUGCAGUGAUAAUGACGCUCCAAAGCACCAUACAUAAUUUCAGAAAACAGUUUACAGUUUUGCUGUCAAUUGCAUCGUAUCCCAUAAGCACUUUGCAUCAAAUUUGGUGUUGAAGAGAAAAUAUUACCGUGUUAAUAUAAGAAUGAGUGAAUUGGAUGAAUUUGAAGAAUGACAACAUGUUUUCACUUAUAAUAAUUGUCCUUGACAAUUAAUUCCAAUAUCGUGGACGUUUAGUAACCGCAAAUUCUAUUAAAUAUUUGUGAGAUGCAGAUUAUAAUUUAAGGUACAAAUAACCCGUUACGUUUUAUUAAACAAAAAGUAAAUUUUUAUGCGCCCAUUAGUAAAUUUUUACUAAUGUACUCUUAACUUGGGUUUCAUUGAACCGGAGGCAGCAAUAAGGAAAUUGAAGGGAUAAAAUCUGUACACACGGCCUUUCUGUCAGGUUGGUGAAUCAAAACAACACCGGAGAGAAUCAAAGAAACUGUCGUUUAGGCUGUUGUUGUUUAAAAGCCCAGAUCACGUGUCUUGCACAUGCAUUACAAAAGUCAAAAGCUCAGUCAAAUGUUCGUUAGGUUUGAAACUUUUGAGAGGCUGUUAUAAUUGCUGCUGCGUCACCAGGGCCCAGGGGCCUGCGGUGAUGGCGCGUGUGGUUGAUUCAUCAGGUUUUAGAGAGAAAAUUGAACCCCUUAAAAGUUAAAACCCAUAUUUAAGUACUUAAAAAUAAAAUAUAAAUGUCUAAUAACACCUCUCUUUAAAUAAAUAAUUUCUCGCGGAACCCCAGUAUUUCAAUUCUUUCUUAUUGUUCAAAUCCAAUAUAUAUAUUUUUUCCGCAUCUAAGCAGAGCGCUCAAAAUUUGUUUGUCUGGUAUGCAAUUGUGUUCUUACCAUAAUUCCAUUGAUGGCUGUGCAUAGCCUGUAUUCCAUAUUUGAUUUGCAAAAGGAAUAAUAAGGCUUUCGAUUAUUUUCUGGUUUAAAAAAAAAAAUUUGUUUAAUCCAAUAGAGGGGGGAAAAAAAAGAAAGAAAGAAAAGGAAAAAGGGUUUUUGGGAGGUGUUUAAAAGAUAAAAAGUUGUUAAAUAAUAUAUAAUACAUAUGACAUGUGGGUGUAAAUAGUUUUCCCCAAAAAAAUUAAUGGUGUUAAAUAAUAAUAAAAAAGUAUUUUAUUAAUAAGGUUGGUCAAUAGAAUUAUUGUUUUCUCUUGGGAUUUUGCGCUUCUUACUAUGUUGAAAUUAUGGCGGCCAUUCUUGUAAUUGAACUUUUGCUUAUGCAAAAGGUUGACGACACAUUUGGUUGGAGUGCGACUUUUUGCUUCUUGUUUAUCUUUUCUUCACUCGUUCCCUGAAUCAUUCUUGAUGUUUACAGAAUUAUUGGUAAAUUCCUCUAAAAUUAGUAUUAAAAUCUAUUCAUUUUUCAAUUAUUAGAUUUUUCUAUUUAAAAAAAAUGAAACCCUCCAAAAAAAUAUUUUGAGCUAUUUAACAUUCUAUAAGUUAAGAGACUGCUAAUUAAGGAGAUUGGUAAGUUUUUUAAAACAUGAAAAAAAAAAGUUAAUUUCGUCAAAUAGAAGGAUAUCUUGGAUAUUUUUGUUCUUUUGAAUCCACAUAUCAAUUCUAAGUCCUUAACCUUGGCUUAAAUCCAAAGUUGAUUUUAUUAUAUGAAUUCACAUCGUUUAAAAGAUAAUUAGGUGAGAGUAAAACUUUUAUCCAUCUUAAAAUUUGUUUUUAUCACUUGGAACUUUGAUAAAUUUUUUAGUAUCCCAAUUGGUCUAUUACCAAAAUAAUUUCAUUAUUUUCAUUAGAAAUGAUGAAAUUUAAUAAUCAACUAUCACUUGAACUAAUCAAAUAAUAACACAUUGUUUGCCACAUCAGUUAAAAUACAAACUAAGUAUUUUGACUAAGUAAGCAUAAUAUUAUUGGUGAAUUAAAUCUAAUUCAUUUGUUUGUUAGAGAAUCAUAUUUACUUGUCAAUAAUAUAUAUUCUUUAAUUACUAUUUCAAGUACCAUGGACGGAAUAUUGAAAUGAGGUAUUAACAUUUGAUUAUUAGGAAGUAGAAACUUAAGUGGUUUAAGUCAUUCUUCACAUACUCAGUUCAAUUGACAUUUAUGCAAAAGACAAAGAGAAAAUUCACAAUUUGCUAAUUAAAUAUAUAUAGAAUAUUAAAAUAUUCAAUCAAGAUAGACUAUUUUGAUUAAUAAAGCUUAUGGCACAUGAUCGCCUCGCAUGAAAUAAUAUUACAAAAUUAAUUUAUUGAGCAUUUACCUAUUGUGCCACAUUAGAAAAAAAAAAAAAAUACCCUCUAUAAGAUUAAGCUACAUCAAAACGAAUACAAUCAAAUUAAUUAUGUACGUGUUGAAUUCUUGCUUUUUGAACUCGAAUUUGAUAAGUUAAUUAUGUAAGCUUGAAACUUCAUCCUUUUUCUGUUUUCCAAAUUUCAUAUCUUUAUUCUUAUUGCAGAUUUUUUGAGGUAUUGUUUUUCGGUUUUUUUAAUUCAAAUGUAUAGGGGGCUAUAUAUUUCUAUACCUCAAAUAGCUUCACAUUUUCCUUAAUCAUUUGAGUUUUUUUCUGAAUAAUUGUUAUAUUUUUAAUGGUAUUUUCUUAAUUAUCUUGGUUAUGAAGUUUUAAAUAAGGUCACAUUAGUAUAUAAUUUUUCUUCCUUUUUUUUUCUUUUUUGGUAAUAUAUAUCAAGGCUUUUUCAAGUAGUUUCACCAUAAUAUUGUAAACUUAAUAUAUUUCAAGGCUUUUUCAAGUAGCUUCACCAUAAUAUUGUAAACUUGUAGUAUUUUUCUUACAUUCUGAUUUUUAGAUGAAGUAAAUACAUUGAUAGGAAUAUAAUUCAUUUCGAUUAUGAUUCUUAUAGCUAAAUAACAACUUAUUUUGAUUUUAAUUCUACUCUAUUCCAAUUACAAAUUGAUAAUGCUAAUUAUAUUUUUUAAAAUAAUAUUUAGCUUAUAAAAAGAGUUCAUAAUCUUUAUUUUUUUAUUUCGCACCCAAAAUUAUCCCCACUUAAUUGAUAAGAAUAUUUUUUAUAAUAAUUUUUUGAAAGAACAUGUCACGUCAUUUAGAGGCUGGAUUCAAUAAGGAUUGUGUUAAAAGAUAAUCAACGAGUCAUCUGGACUAUGCCAUAUGCCAUUUAGGAAUGUUGGCGUUUUGUUUAUUCAAAGAGCAAAUUGUCGUUUUCUAGCAGAAUGCUAAACGAUGCAGUCAUCCACAACGUUUGGGCCGAUUAAAAUAUUUUUAAUAUUUUAUUAUUGUUACCGUCGUUAUUAUUUUUAUUAGUAUUUUUAGUAAUAGUAUAAUAAUAUAUUAUUGUUAUAUUAUUUAUUAUAUUGCUUUUCGGUUAUUAUUAUCUUUACUAGAUAAUAAUAAUAAUAAUAAUAAUAAUUAACUAAGGACAUUUUGACUACUUGUAAUAGUUCAUUAAAAUUUUAAUUUUAGAGUCAAAAUAAACAACUUAUUUUGUUUCUGAUUUCAGUCUAUUUUGAUACGAAUUGAUAAUGCUAAUCGUAUCUUUUUUUUUUUUAAUAAUAUUUGAUACUCAAAAGGAUUUCAUAUUCUUUUUUUUUUUUCAUUUCACGCCAAAACUAUCCACAGUCAGUUAAUAAGAGUAUUUUUAAUAAUAAUUUUCAGAAAAAAAAUGUAAUCUGACUUAGUUUUCUCUUAAAUCUAGAGUAUUCUUGAGGAAUUUCUUAUACAACAAAUAAGAGAAAAAAAAUGAAGUUUGUGGAUUUCAAGUCUCUAAUAUUAUGGUACAACAGUAUAUCUUUAAAUGGUUGAAGUUUAUUUUCUUGUUAUUUUACUAUAAUCAUAAUUACAAUUUUAAAUUUUAAUUAAUAGUCGUAGCUAUAAUUGAAAUUGUUAUUUUAAUUGCUAUUAAAAUUAAGUAACCCAUCUAUUGGAUGAUUCCAUGACCAAAUUAGAAAAUUCAUCAUCCAAUUAAGGAGUGACUCACAAUAAUUAGAACUCAGAUUAAAACUCAUAGUCUGUCUUACUUUUUUUUUUUUAAUUUACAAAUACAAUAUUAGUGAAGACGAGAAAAGCAAGCAGGAAAUUCAGUAAUUUAACUUGCCAAGGUUGUCGAAAAGGAGAGGCAGGCAGACAGGAGUUGUUCAGUUCUGGGAAUUUUUCCGGCAGGUUGAUUAUAACAGCCAGGAUGAAACUGCAACAUAAUCCACGACACUGAUCUCUAUUCUCUAAACACAAUUGGAUAUAUAAUCAUGUAUGGCACUUUUCAUUCGAAGGCAAAUGGUCACCCUUGAAGUCCUUCCGAUAUCUGAUAUUCUUUAAUGCAGUGGUAUCUUUGUUCUGGUCUAUUAAUUUUCAUUGAAAUUACAAUUUUGAUACUCUUUUUAGUUGAAUGGUUAUUUUCCGCAUACUCUUGAUCGUUAAAUUGCUAAGCCUUAUAGAUGAUGAAAACGAAAGUCGAAAUUAUUGAUAUACAUUCCCUGUAAUGAUGACCUUUUUUUUUUUUUUAAUUUGUUUAAGAUUAACAACGGAUAACAUUGUUACUUGCGAGCUUUUCUUGCAUUAAAGAAAUAGAGUCCAUGGUCCCCACACGACUGCAUGGCUAAGGUCCCAAAAACUCUAGAACCAGCCCUUACUGGAUCAUUUCACAUUUAAUAUAUAAUAUGUCAUAUAUGUAUAAUUUAGUAAGAAAUGCAUGUGUAACCCUAAUUAAUGGUGUUAAGAGCUCACGGUAGUUUCGACAUCACCUAAAAUUUUCUCUUAAUAAAAUUACUAGGUUAAAACUAGAGACUCUAGAACUACCGUUUACAACUAUAAACACCAUGAAAAUAGAAAAAAAAAUAAUAAAAUCAGCAAAAUGAAUGACCACUAUGGCAAAGAAAUCUCAAGAAUUGUGAACAAGAAGAGGAUCUAGGGCAUUGUGGAUGGCGUAGAGAAUCAGCAACAUAUAAAUAAUUACUCCAAUGGAGGAAACAGCUAAAGCUCCUGUAAUUUGAUCACAAAACUUGGGGACUUGGCCGCAAACUGGUAACCAACCUGCCGACGAAUUCCCAUUCUUUUCCACUUGACCAAUUGCUAAAGCAGCCGAAAUGCUUGAAGUAAGUAACAUCGUCAAAACCAUAUCUAAAGCAACGAUUAAUCCCCAGAGCAAACUCUUCGAAGGAAGACAGAGAACCAGAAGGCCAUAGAUGCAUACAAUUGCGUUUGCUAUUACAAAGAACUUGAAUGUUGGCAUGUCACUGUACUUUGCUUCAUAUGACACUUCGUUCAAUCUAACUCUCUCAUGGCUUGUGAUCAUCACAAUCGUCGCCGAAAAUGUCGUCAAGAUGGCUAUCACCCUCAGCGAAAAUGUGCAGAUCCUCUCUAUAGUGACCAUGGAGAUAUUGGCCUCUUGCUGUAACAAAACUGGAGGUGGUAUAUGAGAUAUAAAAUUAGGGUUCUGGAAUCCACUACUCCCUGUAAAGACGACUUUUAUGUUUAUUAUUUAACAUGUAAGAAUUUACAAUUCAAUAAUUGCUGUAUAGUUGUUUGUUAUUUUAGUGUAAUUGGAGUAGUAAAAGAAUAAUAGCAUGUUUGGGAUUAGAUUGUCAAAUACGUAAUUAUCACACAUUCGACAAUCUAGCACUCAAAAUAAGUUUGGCAUACCAAUUUCAAAAGUGAUUCUUAAACAUCAAAAAAUUCAACUUUAUUAUUGAUUCUUAAUACUUAAUAGUGGGGUGGCCUAUAAUAACUUUCCAAAAUGUUUACAGUUAAAUAUAUUUAAAUACCAUAAGUGGCCUCAAAGAAAUUACAUAAUUUCAUAAGUACAUUCUUUACAAAAUCAAAUAAAUAAAAAAUACUGAAAUUCAUAAAUUGGAAUUAUAAUUGCGGGUGAUAUAUUUUGUCCAUGCCAAUGCUUGAUCUUACCAGAUAGAGCAUUACCUUGUAAUUUUAGGUUCAUAAAUUAGAAUUAUAACUGCUGGUGAUUUUUUAUUUUUUCGUUUUCGUUUUUUGCUUUUAAUUAUUACUUAUAUAAUAAUAUAGCUAUUCAUAUUAAUUCUUUUGUAAUUUAAGUAAAACUCAUUCAUAUUAGUAACUUAUUAAAGAAUAUUUUUUGCAAUACUUGGAAAGUGAAUAUUAAUGAUGUAGUAACAUAAUUACUUACAUUGCCAGACAUAGUAACAUGGCUAUUUUGGUCAAUUCACACAUAUACACACUUUAAUAUGUAAUUAAUAAGUAAUAAUAUUAUCUAAGAAUAUUCUAAAUUUACCAAGAAUAUUUGCAAAUUAUUUGUAAAGCGGAUUUCUCUCUCUCUCUCUCUCUCUCUCUCUCUCUUUUUGAGAAUUUGUAUAAAAUCUUCUUCUUUAGGAAGGCUAAUAUUGCAAUCCCAAAUUUACCCUAAUAUAACCCUUCGAACAAUUAGCCUAAAUUAUUUUCAACAAAUUGUUACCAUGAAUGUGUUAGCUUUAGUAUUUUAUCAUUAAAGAUUGUUUUGAAUACGCGUGAUAAUUAAUUAUGUAAGCCUUUCUUUAAAAAAAUACCCUCCCUUGACCCUCAAGAAAUAUAUUAAUUUAUAGAUACUGUCAUUACAAAGGCAUAUAUUAAGAACUAAUUAUGUAAAAGAAUUGAUACCCUAAACAUUUAUAGAAAGGGACACAAAACUUCCUACCAUUUUGAAAAAGACAUUUAAAUCCUAAUUUAUUAAUUACUUCGGUUAGUUUAAAUAAUUAAAAAGUCAAAAUGGUACAUUCCCUUACUAAUAAAUGGUGAAUUUACUCAAAAACUAUCCUCCAAAAAUCACAAACCUAAAAGAAUAGUAAAACUCAAUCGAUUGGUUACUAGAAACUCUUCUUUCGUAUCAAAAAAUCAAAAAUCCUUAACAGAAUUUGUGAUUUUUGAAUGGAGAUAGUGUCUGGACUUCUUUUUUGCUUAACUUCUCAACGAGAAAUGGAUUAAAAAAUGUGUCAUUUUCCUUUCAUAAUCCUACUCAUUGUAGAAAUAAAUUAAUAGUGUCUUCUUCUGUAGAAUAAAGAAUUCAAAAAUAGACUAAGCAUAUGUAAAUAAAUAAAAUGAAAUAUAUUUUAUCGUUAUAAGUGUUAGUAUGUAAGUUGUUUGAUAUAUUUAGCAAAGUGUUUGAAUGUCCUAGUGAAGAUCCUAACCUAAUCAUCUCAUCUCUACCUUCCUAGCCAUACAAAUGACAUGAAUCAGCAAGUAUUGAUGACAUAUUCAGAUGACUUAGCAUAUAACAAUAAUACUCUAAAUGAUAUAGAGGUAAGAUCAAGUAAGGAAAUGAUUAACAAAUGAGAGUUGUUAUAUCAUGCAAGGACAUUGAGCAAUGAAACAAUAUGUGUUAUAUAUCAUGCAUGUGAAUAAUGAAAAAGUAGUGUUGUUCUUUGAAUUUUUUUGUGUGCAGUAUUAGUCUAUUUCAAUCUUUAUACAUUUCAACUAGAGAAAUACAUGUAACAUUGUGAUGUAAAGAUAUAAUUGAUUUAUAAUUCAACUAUAAAAAUACACAAACAAAAAUCAUAAGACCAAAUAGAAUGAUUUGUACUCACCAAUUUAUCUUGAUAUAUUCGUCAUUUCUCUAAAGUCUAACAUGAUCCUCUUGGGCUUUCACCAUAUGCAAUGGGCUAAAUAAAUUUGAUAUAUUUGUUAAUUAAUUUAUGGAUAUAUAACGUUGUCCCUAAAAUUUCAAGGAUAUACAAUAAUAGACAUUAAUUAAGUAUUAUUUAGAUAUGCUUUAAGAUAAGAUCGAGUGAUUUAUACUUACAAUUUAACUUUAUUUUCAUUACUUUUCUGACCUGAUACUCAUGAGGUUUCACCAUAAGCAGUAAUCUUUUUAUGAGUUGUUUGCAACUGAAAAAUUCAUAAGAUUAAUGAAUCACAAUAUUAUAUAGAAAGUUAAAACAAGCAUUAUUUUUAGAGUAAGUUCUGAGAUAAUAAAGAGAAAGUGCCAUACCUUCAUAGUUUUUUUCUAUUUUCCAAAUAUAUUCAUUUGCAUGUUAUAUUCUUCCAAAGUCAUUUUAUAGGUUGUUAAGACUAGCUUGUUCUUAAGGCCAUGAUAUGAUCUACCAUAUCUGAGUAAAGUAUAAACAACCUGAGAAUGGCCAUGCACGGCUACCAAAUGCAAAAGGGUAUUCUCAUUCUCAUUCAUCUAAUUAACUACCUCAUCCUUGGUUAUAUUAGUUUCUAGAUCUAGACGAUGGAAUUAACCAUCUCAUUCUUGGCUAUAAAUUCUAGAAUGUUGCAACCACUAUCAGUGACAAACAAACUUAGGUAGGGUUACUUUUUUAGCAUCUUAAAAGGUCUCUUAAAAUGACUAUUUUUGCAUGCAAGGUAUAUGGGAUAAAAGGUCUCUUUAUUUUAUUUGAAAGCACUAUGACCAUUAACUUCAAGUAGGAUGUACACUUUAAGGUAGUCAUUUGACGUAGUAAAGUGGAGUGAAAUGUUUCCAUUUCCACAUUCUAAAAGAAGAAGCUCUAGUUUGUACUCAUUAGUCAGAUAUAGCACAUCUGAAAUUCAAAACAGAAAACAUAAUAAUACAACUUUUUAAAUAAAUUUUGAAAAAGAAAACUAUGCUUUUAAAAUGAAAGAUAUGGAAAAUAAUGUUGGAAUUUCAAAUACCUUGAUUUCUUUUCUUUUUGGCGAUUUGCAAAGAAGAAUUUACGACUAACUUAUAUUGUAAGGUAGACUUCUCAAAAUAUAUUCCAGAAUAUCCAUGUUUUUUAUUUUAGUCGUCAAAUAUAAAAGGAUCGUAUCUGCAACGUUCUUGCGACAAGACAAACCAGGAUCCAAUGAGACAAGAAAAUAAGCUAAAGCUAUUAAGGAGUUACUUGUCUUUAUUAUCUCAGAUAUGGCUAAUGUAGGAUUUGAUGAGAAAUAGGAAUGAGUCAUGCCCAGAAAACUAUUAGUAGUACUUAUAUUCCAUGUAGCAAAUUUGCCUAGCAUAAACAAGGCUUCAUACAAAGUUGUGUUUCCCAUUGAGUUCUCCAUCCUUAGCAAAUUCAUUGGUGCUUGCAAUGUACUAGGAAUAUGUUUAGCAAAGUUGAUGAGCGUGGUGGUUGUUUUAACUUUCCAGCUGGAGUAGCACAAUGAAAAGGAGUAUCUCCUUGGUUGUUCUUCUUAUUGAUUAGAAAUGGAUAAUAGUGAGCUAUUUGUGCAAAACUUUCACUGUGACCAAACUUAGCCACCACAUAAAGUAAAAUAUUGCCAUCAGGAAAGACUUUCUCAAAAAAUAUGAUGUAAAUCUUGUUUAGUGAUGUCAGAAAAUGGAAAAUCAUUGACAUUGCCUCUUAUUGCAGCUUCAAAAUAUACAGGAUUUAAAAUUUGUUCCAUUGAUUUUGAGUUUCCUCCAAAAGGAAAGAUUAAUAAAUGUUAAAAAAUUAUACAUGGAUUAAAAUGUUUAUUUUUAUUUUUUUACAUUUUUCAUAAAUAAUUUAACUUCAUGAACGAAAUAGAGAUUUAAAUGUUUUGCAAACCCAAGAGAUAAAAAUAAAUAUUAUAGUUGGUUCAUGCAAUCUAUAAACAUACAAGGAGUACAAUCAUAAGGAGCUUUAAGCACUAAAUUAACUCUACAAUAUAAUGUAAUAUUGUCAAUCAUUACAACAUUAACGACAUCAUUCUGUUAUCAUCUCAAUACUUUAUAAGCGUCAUUGGAUAUAUUAUAUUUCUUGUAUAGAUGAGUAUACAUAUUAUGGUGCACGACUAACGCACACUAAGUCAGUUCUCUACAUACGCAUGAUCUUUAGUUUUUGAUACAAUUCAAUCAAUUUGACUACUUAUUUAUCUAAUAGAGUGCACAAUAGCAUAUAUAUAAGUCCAAUUAAGAGUAUAUGUAUAAUCUCUAACUAGCUAUAUAUUUUGUGAAUAGAUGAGUAUACAUAUUAUAGUGCACGACAGACGCACACUAUAUCAAAACUCUACAUAUUCAUAAUCUGUAGUUUUGAAACAACUCAAUCAAUUUGACUACCGCCGCAAAUAAAGUUUUGCCGAUGCUCUUAAUUUCUUUUUCACUUAACUUCCUUACCAUAAAUGGAUUAAGAAAUUGCAUACCGUCUCCUUUCAAAUUUCCAAUCAUUGUGAAAGAGAUUAAUAAUGUCUUCUUCUGUAAAAUGAAGGAUUCAAAAAUAUAUUUAAGUUUGUGUAGAGAGUAAAAAUGAAAUAUAGUUUAUUGUUAUAAAUGCUGGUGUGUACAAGUGUUUGAUAUAUUUAGUAAAGUGUUUAAUUAAAUGUCUCAAUAAAGGUCCAAUCCUAAUUAUCUCAUCUCUGCCUUCCUAGUUAUACAAGUGACAUGCCCUGACUCAAUAAAUAUUGAUGACAUGUUCAAAUGACUCAACAUAGAAAUAAUCUAGAUAAUAUCACUUUUUGAAUCCUAAAUAGAGGAAAGUGAAAAAUACUGCUAGUUUGUAAGUAAAAUUACUAUAUAUUCAUUUUGUUUUAUCAUUUAAGAUCAUAUUUUUCUCCGGUUAAUGUGCAUUCUUGGCCAUGAAAUGGAUUAUUUUUGUUGUUAUUUACUCCUCUCUGAAAAAUGAAAGAAAAAAAAAACCUGGAAUUACUCUAGAGCCAUAUUUUCUUUAAAUACUAGUGAUUAAUUUGAUAAUAUGUAGAAGAUUCAAUUCCUUUUAAUUAGAUAAAAUCCAAAACCUGCAGAUAUAUAAUUGUAUAUAUUUUAGGCAAUUUUUCUAGUGCUCUAAUAUUACAGUGUGAAAAGAAAUGAUGUGGCCCUCAUGUAGUACCUAAGACUUUCUUCCACAGGGUAAAUUUAACUUCAGGCUUGUUUAGUAACGGGAUAAGUUUUGGGGAUUUGACCAUAUAUGCUCAACUACUGUUGCACCAACUAGGAUUAUGACUAACAUUUCAUAUGAUUAGAGCAUCACCAAAACACUCUUCAAAUAAGAUUUUAUUAUUUAUUUGAAGAGCCACGUCAGCUUUUAAAGCUUCAAAAGACACUCUAAUUAAGAUUCUUCAAAUAAUAAAUGAUCCCUCUUCAAUUUUGGAGAGUUGGUUUCUCCCUCUUCAAUUUAUAUUUUAUUACUUUUUGUUGGAGAAAAAGAGAGAGGUGCUUUAAUUACUAUUGACUUUUCUUUUAAAAAAAUAGUUAUUUUAAUUAAAAUAAUAUUAAUUCAUUUAUAUUUGAAGAGUCUUUUGGAGAAUAACAUAUUUUUUCACUCUUCUAUUUACCACAUAGGUAAGCAAAUAGAUAUUUAAAGAGUAAAAUUUAUAGAGCCUUUUGGAGAUGCUCUAACAAUUGCAAUGAGUAAUUGAAAGCAUUUAUACGGGUAUAAUUUAGUUCCAUUGACUCGUAUCACUCGUUACAGUAUUCUUUUUCUUGUCGUGCGUUCAUAAAAGAAGCGCAUGUUCAAAUGAAACGAAUACCAAAUGGAGCAUUGUCAUAAGCCUAGCAAUCUUUAUUAUUCAAAAUAUGCCCAAUUGAUAUCCCUAAGAAGGCUUAGAAUGAAGGCCCAAAUCCCAAGAGACGAGCCUCUUAAAAGGUAGACCCAAAUAAUAUUCUAUUGGGUAGGGAUAUCGGUACUCCACAAUACGUGUACAUUCAUUCAAUUUCAAAACAUAAUUUACAUUAUUUUAAAAUUUAAAAUAUAGAGAAAUUUUAAAUAAUUAAUUAAUUAUAUCAUUUUCUUUACAUAAGUCUCUUGACCAUUAUUGAUCACUAAUUUUGUUUUAACAUAAAAUAAUCAGAUUGUCUAAAUGGUAGUGAUACAUAUUUCAAACUUUUUAUAAAAAAAAAAAAAACUAUCUCAAAUAUUGUGGCAUUUAUCAAUUGGUUGAUGAGAUAAUAUAAUUAAUUCAUUUGGAUAUUGUAACCUAAAAACUCUAAAAGUUUGAAAAUAAUUAAAAUUUAGAUUAAAAAAAUAAUCCCUUAAUGUUUAUUUUUUAAAAGAAAGUAAUAUUAUAAAUGUUUUCCAUAAAAAAAGGGGAAAAACUAACGUAACAAAUGAGCAAUGUUAGUUUGGCCGAAGUUGGUGCUUGAUUUGGUGUCCAAACAAUCAUUUUGAUUUUGCCGGUUCGAGCAUCAACUUCGAACAACCCAGCUUUUUCCUAACGUGCUAUAUGUAACAUAAAACUCGGAAAAUAUGACAAAUUAAUAGCUUAAAAAAUGUAGCAAUAAAUAUUUUGAUAAUAUGGGGAACAUUAAAAAAAAUGUAGCAAAAUAUUUAAAAUCAUAAUUAGUUCAAAUUUUAGAAAUUGAAGGAGUAUUUACUCAUUUAUAACUGGGAAAAUGAGUAUUACCUCUUGUUGUUAGGUGAAACUAAGUAAAAAUCACCUCAUGUUUUAAAGUAACUUGAAAUUAGGGAUGACAAUUAAACCCGACCCUAUUUUUGGCCCGACUGACUCUACCCUAAUUUUUCAGACUUUGACCCAAAUAUUCAAGUUUUGGGUUAGAUUCGGGCCAAAAUUUUUAGACCUGAUCAAAUUUCGGGUCAAGAUCGGGCUCAAGCAGACCCGACCCAACCUUGUAUUCCAAAAAAAAAAAAAAACACACACGACUACACGCUACACGCAGGAUGCAUCCAUGCAAACAUCAUAGUAUCACACAUGCACGCAUCACAAUCACACACGCACACAUCACACACCACGAACAAAACCAAUUAACCAAAGUACCAACCAAACUCAUUUCAAAUCCUAAGUCAACUCAGCCGACAACCAACACCAUCAUCAUCAACGUCAACCAUGCAACGUGAAUCUGCCGUGCUGCUGCCACUUCUCGCCUGCUUCAAUCAGCCGCGUUCUCUCUCGUACUGUCUCACUUGCUCCAAGCCUCCAAUCAGCCGCACGAUGUGAAGCAGCCACCAGCCACGCUUUGUCUCAUCGUCCUAUCACAUCAACAUCAAUCAACGACCAUAAACUUGUCAGCCAUGCACACGCUCAAGGAGGGACCGAGAGGGGUUGAGCCGCUGCCGUUAACUUUGGUAAUUUCAUAAAUAUUAAUUAAUCUUUUCAUUUAAGCUUAUAAAUUGAUUUAGAAUUUCUGCUAAAUAUAUUACAAGAUAAUUAAUUAGUUACUGUUGUGUGUUUUCAAUGUUGGAUUGUGGAUUAUUUUGUAAUUAUUGUAUUGUAUAUUUUGCCUAUUUUAUUGUGAAUUAUUUUGACUUUAAGAUAGAAAAAUAUUUUCUUCUAUUUUAUAUUCAUGAUAUUUUAACUAGAAAGAGAACAAAAAUUGAAAAGUAAUAUGAACGAAAUUGAGAUGUGGUCAUAAAUUGCAAUUGUAACAAAAUGGUGCAGCCCAGAUUUGCAAAAUUCUGAAAGUAAAUUUAUGAUCGGGUUGGGUCGGACCCGACCUGAAGGAGAAAUGAUAGGGCUAUUAAUCGGGUUGGCCUUUUUCUUUGGCCAAGCCCAACCCCACCUGAUUGAUUGCCAUUCCUACUUGAAAUCCUAUGUUAUUCUAACGAUGUUAACUUUAUUCAUCGUUUGAUUAUUUUACCCUUUUUUGAUUAUGUUAGCCUUAUAAUUAAAUGUUUUGGAAAUAUUCUAUCAUCAUUAUUGAGUAAAAAUAUAAUUUUCAAGUAUAAAAUUAAAACAUAAAUUCAUAUUUUUAUCUACAAAUAAAUAUAUCAAAAUUUAGGGAAAAUUACCAAAACCUAACUCGAAAUCCGAAUGUUGCCAAAUCCUGAAUCUAAAUCCAAAAUUCUAAAUGUUGACAAAUCCUAAUCCUAACCCUAAAUCUGAUUCUUCUUCAGCUUUGGUGGAAUUGCUUUUAUAAAAAGAUAGUUUUCUUUAUGGAAUGAGAAUCAAUUUAUCAAAAUACCCAUAGUAUUAAUAAUUAAUAAAAAUAAUUAAUUUAUUAUUAUUAACAAUAUUAUCAUUAUUUUUGUUAUUAUUAAUUAUUGUUAAUAUUAUUUUUAUUAAUAUUAUCAUUAUUAACUUUUAUUAUUAUUAUUAAAUUUUAUUAACUUUAUUAUUUUAGUUAUUAUUAUUUUUAUUAAUAUUAUUAAUAUUAUUAAAUUUUAUUAACUUUGUUAUUUUAGUUAUUAUUAAUUACUGUUAAUAUUAUUUUUAUUAAUAUUAUCAUUAUUAACAUUUAUUAUUAUUAUUAUUAUUAUUCAUUUUAUUUUUUAUUAAUAUCAUUUUUAUAAUAACAUUUAUACAUGUAUCUAGAUAAUGAAAAUUACAUUAUUAUUAAAUUUUAUUAACUUUAUUAUUUUAGUUAUUGUCAUUAUUGUUAUUAUUAUUAUUAUUAUUAAUGAUAAUAUUAAUAAAAAUAAUAAUAACAAUAAUUAAUAAUAACUAAAAUAAUAAAGUUACUAAAAUUUAAUAAUAAUAAUACUUAUUAUUAUUAUUAAUGACAUUUAAAAUAAUAAAAUUAAUUGUGAUUUGAAUGAGGGUAAUUUGAUAAAUAUGAAAAAAUUAGAGGGAUAUAAAAAUAAACAUAUAUUUCAUUCACAUUCCCUCAUUUUUAUUCUCAAUCCCCCAUGGGAAUGAGAUUCUCAUUCCUUAUUCCCAAAUUAUAUAAGAUCCACAUAUUUUAUUUUCAUUUCCAAAUUAUAUUUUACUAAAUAAAUAUGGAUUUUAUUCUCAUUCCUUCAUUUUUAUUUCAUAAACUCUCAAAUAAACACACUAUAAUUCGAUUGACCAAUCUAAUUUAUAAAAGAACUUUGGAAAAAAGGAAAAUUAUGCACUUUUUGUUUUGGGCGGUACCAGAUGCUUUUCAAACAGCAUGGUAAGAAAUCCCAAAAAUUGUACACGUGUGAAAAAUUACUGGCUGGUUCGAUGGAUGACGUUGGUUUUUUAUCAUUUUUUUUUUUUUUUUUGUGAGGAGGAUGUGGUUGGGUUUACGUACAAAUAAGGGCAAAUUACCCUAUUUGAUAAACUAUAAAAGGGACACCUGGAAUCCUUCCAUGUUCAUUUAAAAAAAUCUGAAAAGCUGAUGUUUCUUAUCCCACAAAGAAAACUUUUUAUCUUCUUAUCAUGAUUUAUGAAUAUUGAUUUUGAUGUUUUCAAUCCAGCGAAGAAAUUUUUUUUCCUCUGAUCAUGAUUCACGAACGAUGUGUUUGGUGCUUUAACUGUGCAGUUUUCAUCUCCCCAGGUGGAAAGUUUUUGAUUCAAAAUCAUAGAUUUUUCCUAAAUCUUUUAUUAAACUUGUCAAAAGAACAUGCAAUGUUGUAAUUCAUAGGGCCACUCGGCCAAAGUUGGUUAGAACAGCUGCACUCACUUAUCUGGGUGCAGCUGUUCGACCCCUAUAAACGAAUUAUGGAGAAUUUAAUAAUAUUUUUCCUUUACUAAAUAUGAAUGGUGUGGAUAUCUCUUAAAUAUAAGUGAAAAUAAAAAAUUUAAGCGGUGCUUCAUUAAAAUUAAUAUAAAUUAAUUUCAAUAAUAGUCUGAUUUAUAAAUAUUAAUUAUAAUUUUAUAUAAUAUAAAUUGUACUCUUGAGUAAUAGUCUCAUGUGAUAAAAAAAAAUUGUAAUUCAUAGAAAUUAUAGUGUCAUGCUACCGACAUUACAAAGAAAAGCUGUUUUUUUUUUUCCGUUUUUUGGGCAGCCGAAUGCAGUCGAAACAAGUAUCGUGCCGUUGUAAACUUAACUUGUUUAUAUGACAGUCCCCAUCAGUGGCUGCCCGUCGAUAAUAUCUAAGUUAAAAAAAUGUUAUUUUUCCGAUUGAAAAUAUAUUUAUUUUGACUAAAAUUGGCUAUCACGAAUAGAUUAAUGCAAAUUGGCCAUCAUUUGUUUGAUUAAUUUCUCAUAUUUUUCGUUAUUAGCUUUAAACUUUUCUUUCAAUUUUUUUUUUUUUUUUUGUUUUGGGCAUAACUUUCAAAUUUUCUAUUGCCAUAAUCAUAUGUUGGGAUUUGUUUCAGCAAAAAGUUUCAAGAAUUUGUAUGGAAAAUAGACAACAUAUACUACGAGAAACUCUUAGAAGCUACUUUCAUCGGUUAGAUUUUUAACAAGAAUAUUUUCUAUUUAAUUUUAUAAAUAUAUACAUAAACUUUUUUUUUUCAUGUGGAUAGCUUAUUCUUUAUUUCAUAUUAUUAACUAAUAUAACUUAAUGGAAUUAGUGCAGACAUUAUAAUAAAAACAUGACUUUAUGAUAUAUUGAAUAUUGACUUUAUUAAAUCACACGACUUAAUAGUAUAUCCGUAUUAAAAAGAAAACACCAAAAAUUUUUGAGAUAUUAAAUUGACUGGUGACCCACCCAAAUUAUCAAUGCGGAGAAGAGAAUAAGAAGAACUAAAGUGGAGAAAAGAGUAGAAGAAGAAGUGCUUUCAUUUCAUGGACACGAAUGUACGCCACUGCUUGAGAACGGAAGUUAGUGGAGGAGUUGACUUUUCAGUUUCGAAGGUAUACAUAAAUAUUUCACUAUUUAUAAACGGAAAAUAUCAAAACACCUCAGAUAUUUGGACUGAUUAUUAAUUUCUAGGUUGUGAAUUGUGAUAUCACUAAAAAAAAAAAAGAAUUAAAGAAAGAAAGGAAAUUAAGUUAUAGAAUUAAAGAAAGAAAGGAAAUUAAGUUAAAAAGAAUUAAAGAAAGAAAGGAAAUUAAGUUAUAAAGAAAUUAGGGUAUAUGUACUAUAUUUUAAUUUAAAUAUCCUUUUAGUUCUUAUAUUUUUAAAAAUAUGUAAAGACAUCCUAUUAUAAAUAUGUUACGAUCUUGCUUUUAUUUUUUCUUACCUUUUACAACAAUAACUUUGCAAUAAUAUUCUUGGCAUUAAUUUUUUAUCUAAAAAAUAAUUAGCAAAUUAACCAAUAUAUUAGCAAAUUAAGAAAUAAAUAUCAGUUUAAAACUAGUAACCAUUUAUGAUAAACUAAUACCAGCUAACUUAAAGCAAUGUCCUAGCUAAGUUAUUUUUUUAUGAAAAAAUCAAUUACCAAAUUAAUCCUAAGAUUAAGAUAAUAAAAAAUAUUUAGAGUAAUUUUUAUUUUACUUUUACUUUUAAGACUAAUUUGAUAAAUUUACAUUUGUUGCUUUUCAUUAAAUCUCCAAUAAUAUUAUUGCAAGUGUAUUAUUCUAAACGUAAAGAAAAAAAUCAGGAUAGGACUGUAAUAUAUUUACUAGUAAAGAUGUCUUGAGGUAUUUUUUUAAAAUAGAGAGACUAAGUCACUAAACGAAUACUUAGCUAAAAAAUGCAUGCACCAAAUAUGCAUUUAGCUAAGAAAAUAUGAUACCGUGUUUUGAUUAACCGAAAAAAAGAAGUUUAUCAGAAGUUUGAGCCAAUAGAAUUAACAUUAUUAGUUAUUAACAAGAGUACACCUAAAAAAUUUUGAAUCACUCGAAUGAGUACAAACCACAUAAGUUUUUGUUAAAAUUUUUGUGAAGUCUAGUGUGUGUAUUUAUAUAAACAAAGUGGGUAGACAAUUAAAAAUAAACAUGACUGAAUGUCAAUAUCCGAAAGCUCAAAACAAGUAUGAGCUUAAGAUUUUCCAAUUUACAAUUAAUUCAACUACAAUAAAAUAAAUAAAUUUACCUCAAAAUUUACUGAAAAUUAAUUAUGUAAAAUUAUAUUUUGUAUAAUUUUUAUUCAAAUUUAAUUUGAGAAUUUUUAAUAUAUAUGGCGGUCAAUCAACAACCCACUCGAAAGACUUAAUUUAUUUUCUUUUAUUUUAUUUCUAGUUUUUCUGACAAGUCAAGCUGGCUAGAUUUCAAGCCACAACAAAUGCGAAGUCUAGAAAAACCUAUCAGAGAUAAAUUCUAUGUUCAAAUUUAUCACAAUUCACCAGUACGUGGCAGAAAUAACGUCCAUUUUGCACUCUAUAAAUACCGUACUCCCAUCACCAACAUUUGCAUAUCACUCACAUUUCUCAUUACUUCUUAAAUUACUCCGUGAACUUUCCCUCAAAAUGGCUCCACUUAUUAUGAGAAAAAAUAUUGUAACCUUUGCUCUUGUGGGCAUUCUUGCCCUAGCUUUUGCCACCAAUGUAAUGUGUCAAAAUGUUGCUAACAUUGUGACUCCCCAGUUCUUCGACAGCAUAAAGAAUCAGGCAGCCGCGAGAUGCGCCGGCUGGCGCUUCUACACGAGAGAUGCAUUUCUGAAUGCUGCCAAGGCCUAUCCUCAAUUUGGUAGCGGCUCUCCUACAGCUUCGAAGCGUGAGAUUGCUGCAUUUUUUGCACACGUCACUCAUGAAACUGGACGUAAGUUCUCUCCAUUUUAUUUCUUUUUGCAUGAGUAUUUAUGAGCAAUCCAUGCAUAGAGAAGAAAACGACUUUUCUUUGUUUUAUUAUUUUCAAAACUGUUUUUGAAAUUUUUUAAAACUAUAUCCGUUUUUUUAUAAUUUAAUUUAUCUGUUGUCCCUCCCCCCCCCCCCCCAUAUUUGUUCACUACUAGAAAUAUAUAUCUGAGGUUGGAACGAACAUAACCUUCCUGCUGUUUGCGAAAUAUAUAUAAUUCUUGCGAAAUUAAUUAUUUCCAACCCAUGUUUGUUUUAAAAAGAAAUUUAUUUUUUUCUGAUACAUCAACAGGAUAUCGAUACGAUUAUAGAGAAUCUAUGCACCCUCACCCUCUACAAUAAUAUACUAUGCUUUUUAAUUUCUUGUUGGCAAGAGCCUUUCUUAAUUAGCAUGUAUAUUUAGACAACUCUUUUUAAUUACAUGCUUUUUAUAUAUUAAAUAAUGUUCUCAGUUUGAUGAACACAUAAAAGUUUUCAAUAAAACUAAUUGAAUACUCCAACUUUUAAUUGAUAUGAUUUGCCACUAGCCGAUUAUCUUGAUUAAGCCUAGAGAGAAUUAAUUAAAAAAAAAUGUCUUGCUUUUUCAGAUUUGUGCUACGUUGAAGAGAUUAACAAGUACAACAGGUACUGUGAUGAACAAAACCAACAGUACCCAUGUGUUCCCGGAAAGUUCUACUACGGCCGUGGACCGAUCCAACUCACCGGAAAUGGCGACUACGGAGCUGCCGGAAAAGCUAUCGGGUUUGACGGAUUAAGAGCUCCGGAAACGGUGGCCAGGGACCCCGUUGUGUCAUUUAAGACUGCCUUGUGGUUUUGGAUGACCUAUGUGCACCCAGUUAUGAACCAAGGUUUUGGUGCAACAAUUCAGAGAAUCAAUGGAGCCAUUGAAUGCGGUGGCAAGCAACCUGCUCAGGUUCAAGCUCGCAACGGAUAUUAUAAGGAUUAUUGCAACAAAUUUGGUGUUGCUCCUGGCCCAAAUCUCUAUUGUUAAGAUGUUUUCGCCGAUACUUCACUGGCUUGUGGAAAUAAUGUGGCGUAAUUUUAUAAUAUAGGGUGGUUUCAUGUAUCGAAAACAAAAUAAAUUGAAGAAAUAAAAGUGUGUUCCUAAUGUGGUGUAAUUUUAUAAAAUAGGGUGGUUUCAUGUACCUAAAACAAAAUAAAUUGAAGAAAUAAAAGGGUGUUGCCGACCAUAUUUUAUUGCUUAUAUGGUUUGUGAUUAAUUAUGCUUCUUGGAGAAACUCCACCUUGAUUUAGCUUUGGCUUUUUUAGGAAAAGCAAUAUGAUAGAUGUUUGUCAGUGAAAAAAGAAACUAACUUUAUACAAAGAGCAAUACUAGCUUUAGUGAUUGAUUGAGUGUCGGAUUGGACACCAACUUUAAGUAACCCAGCUUUUUCAUAACAUAAUAUUUGUAACAUAGGACUUAAAAAAUAUGAUGAAUUAAUAACUUAAUAAAUGUAACAAAUAUUUUGAUAAUAUGUGUAUCAUAAAAAGAAUGUAACAAAGUAUUUGACAACAAUAAUUGGUUCAGAACAAGACAAUGUUUCCAUGGAAUUAUGAGAAGAAUCGUGUUAGAGAUUAGGACAAAGGAAACUGCGCGACAACUUUCGUACCGUAGUAUCACAGUGGCGCCUUUUUUUCAAUCUUUUGCAAUACUAAAUUUUAUUUGGCCUCCUUACUUUCUUAUGUAUUUUCAAUUUAUUAAAUAAAUCAACACAUUUAUAAAGAUGGCUGAUAGCCGGCACCGGGCAGCUUUUAUCGGGGUUGCCAGUAAGCUAAAUCAAUUUUGGAGGAGCAUAAAACUUCAGCUUUAUGAAUAACAUUAUUUUAUUGCAUUUACUCUACUAAUUUUAUGGCUUUGAACCCUUUGUUUGACAAGAAAUAUUUGUGUCGGAUCAUCGCACCACCUCAAUCAUACCAUUUAGAGACUUAUUAUUCUGUCACAUAACCCAAUAGUAUUGGAUUUUUUCCAACAAAUUUAACAUACUAAGAUAGUAGGACAACCUUACAAAAAAAUUUUGAGUUAAUAGUGCUAAAUGGUAUUAUAAUCAAAAGUGGGUCUUGGUAUCUUUUAUUAAAAAUUUUAGAUCUACAUAACCAUUUCUCUAAACCUUGAGGAUGUAGGUAUCUUUUUCCCUAAAGUAAAAGAUUCUCUUAUUAUAAGAUUAAAAUUACUCAUAGUGAUAAUAUUAUAAUCUAUUGACAUUUUUUUUUUCAAUUAGACCAAAUUAUAAUAUUUUUUAUAAUAAGGUAAAGCAGUGCUAAGUCUUUAAACUUCUGAUGAUUUCAAUUUAUUCAAUAAAUAUAUAAUCUCUAACUCUAAUUGAAGAAAAAAAAAAGGUUGAAUUGGGGACAUAUUUAAAAGUAAAAUAAAUAUUGUUUUAUGAAAAAUUAUAAAAAAUUAAGGGGUUUAAGCAAAAAUUUUCGAGGCCUGGGUCCGCCCCCAAAGGAACAGUCACUUUUGGUCAAUUUAAUUUGAAAGUUCCACAAAUAAUAAUGCUAAAUCAAAUUCAGUUGUAAAUGAACAAGAACAAGACGAGAAUUUGGGCGACAAUUAGGGAACAAGAUGAAAUGAAGGUGAGAUGAGAUGAAGAUGAUUUUGAGAAGAAGAGAGAGAUUUGGAAUUUGGGCCGGAUUGUUUUUAAGUUCUGAAAUAUGUUUUAGAGGGUAUAAUGUUAAUAACCAAAUAACAACAUCCUACCGUUGAAACUACUUUUUCAUGUAUACAGCUGAAGUAUCAUAAUGAAAAAAUUUGACACAUGUUGCAAUUGUUUCAAAGUAAUUGAAUCCUAUAUGAUUAUUAUUUUGCAACAAGCUAUAUAUAAACAAUAAUUUACUUAAGGGUGGGCAAUGAGACGAUUUGAUUAGGUAUUGGGCCGAAUCCAAAACUUUAGUUUGGUUCAGUACUGAAUUCUUGAAAAAUCAAUAGGAAUAGAAUUAGAACUAAGAUUUUCGAUUUAGUUUGGUCCUUUAAAUAUUUAUAAAAUUUUUUAAUUUUUUUACAAAAUUUAAUAUUUUUUAUUUAAUUUCUUAUAUUCUCUUAGAUCAUGCUAUGUAGCAUUACUUAAAUAUAAAAUAACGUCAUUUUUUUUCUGCUUCGGUUCUAAUUAUGAGAAUUUAAUUCAAUUUCAUAUUUGUUUUAUCAACUUUUUUUAAAGAAAAUGUCCCUUGAGUUUACCUAUAAGAAAAUAGACAUCGUUCAAGAAUGAAAGUUUAGAAAAUUGACUAGACUUUUCAAGUCUUUAAAAGAUAUUGUUUUAUAUGUAGGUUAUGCUAACUUCUUGCUUACGAGAAUUUUCAAGUCUUUAGAAGAUAUUGUUUCAUAUGUAGGUUAUGCUAACUUGUUGCCUACGUAAACGAGCUAAGGAUACUAUUCCUCGAAAUAAUUAUCCAGAAGAAAAAGUUUGAUCUAUUAAUUAAAAUUAGGGAGAAUGAUGCUCGAUCUAUCUUAUAAUUUAUUUUUACAACUUGAGUUCCAAUGAAAUUUAUUACUCAUUUUGUUCCAACUUUUAAACAGUGACAAAAAAUAUGCAUUAUUAAAGGAUAAAUGAGAACUUUUCACGUACAAUUUUGAUAGAUCUGCAAAAGAAAAAAAAUGAAGAAGAGGAAGUGUUUUUACUGUAAGAAACAAGGCCAUUACAUUAGAGAUUGUUCUGAGAAAAAGAAAUAUGAUAAAGAGAGAAUAUGAGAUGCAGCAGUGGCCUCAGAUGAUUUAUCUGAUGAUGGAUACCAUAGUGCUGACUUGUUGGUAGCCUUAAACAACAACAUUAGAGGUUAUUAGGUCCUUGAUUUAGAUUGUUCCUUUCAUUUGUGUCCUGAUAGAAGUUUUUUUUAUGAGUAUGAAUAUGUGGAUAGUGGUAGAGUUUUGAUGGGAAACAACAAUGUGUGUAAGAUUUUUGGUAUAGGGUUUAUCAAAAUAGAGAUGUUUGAUGGGAUUGUUAUAACUCUAUGUGAUGUGAGACAUACACCUAGGCUAAAGAGGAACUUAAUCUCUUUAGGCAUGCUGGAUAGUACAUGAUACUUCUUCAAAUUUGAAAAUAGUGGUUUAAAGAUUAUGAAAAGGACUGAGAUGGUAAUGAAAGGGAUUAAGAAAAAUGGUCUUUAUAUAUUAGAAGGAUCAUCAGUGCUUGUGUCAACUAUAAUGACAACUAUUUCUGAGCUUGAUAGAACUAUGUUAUGACAUCUUAGACCUGACCAUAUGAGUAUUAGGGGAAUGCAAAAAUUAAGUAUUCAAGGGUUGCUCUGUGGUGACAAAAUAAUUGAGUUAGACUUAUGUGAAAACUGUAUUUUUAGCAAAGCACACAUGUCAAAUUUACUAAAGGGAUGCAUGUGUCUAAACAACCUUUAGACUAUGUGCAUGCUGAUCUUUGAGCGCCUGGUCAGGUCUCUUCUCUAAGUGGUGGAAAGUACUUUAUAUCUGUGAUAAAUGAUUACUCCAGAAAGGUUUGGGUAUAUAUAUUUGAAAACCAAAGAUCAAGUCUUUGAAAAGUUUAAAGUCUUGAAGGCUUUGGUGGAGGCUCAAUAUGGUUUCAAAGUGAAAUGCCUUAGGACAGACAAUGAACUUGAAUUCUGUAAUAAAGAGUUUAAAGUUUUUUUUUUAUCAAGAAUGAGGGAUUAAGAGGCAUAAGACGGUAAGGCUCACCCCUCAGCAAAAUGGCUUAGUUGAAAAGAUGAACAGAACCCUUGUUUAUAAGACAAGAUGCUUAUUGAUCAAUUAUUAAUUACCAAGGAGUUUUUGGGUUGAAGCUAUCUCAACAGCCUGUUAUCUCAUUAAUAGAAGUCCAUCAUCAGCCAUUGGGUUCAAAACUCCAUAAGAAGUCUAGUCUGGAAAACUUGCAAGCUAUAAAUAUCUCAGGGUAUUUGGGCAUCCUACGUAUGUUCAUAUUAGACAAGGGAAGCUUGAUGCACAAGCUGUCAAAUGAGCAUUUGUUCGUUAUAUAGAUGGGGUUAAAGGCUACAGAGUUUGGUGUGGAAAAGCUAAUAAGUGUUUAAUUAUUUAUUCUGUUUAAUGAAGUUGUUGUAAUCAAUAAGUCUGAUCAAGUAACUUCUGAUACUGAUAUUAAUGUAAAUAAGACACUGACUACUGGAGUCAUUAAUCAAGGUGUUAAUAUUGAGGUAGAGUUGUCUAGUGCUCAUAAAGAUGAAGUACAACCAGAAGCUGUUGAAGAUUAUUCUCAAGAUACAGUAGUAAUUGAAGAUGCAGCACCACAAGUUACUGAUCUGCAAUAAUAUCAAUUAGAUAUGGACAUAUAAAGAAGACAUAUCAUACCCCCAAAAAGGUAUGCAUAUACAGACAUAGUUGCAUAUGCAUUGACGAGUGUAGAGGAUGUUUCAAUUGAAAAGCCUAGCAGCUACGCAAAAGCACUAAGUACAACAAUAACUAGAUUAAAGCAAUAAGGGAAGAGAUGGAUUCUCUGGUAAGGAAUCAGACAUGGACAUUGGUUUCUAAUCCAAGAAAUAGGAAAAUUGUCAGCUGCAAAUGGAUAUUCAAGAAGAAUGAGGGUAUUCCAUGUGUUAAAGACUCAAGAUAUAUGGCAAGACUUGUGGCAAGGGGUUUCAAAAUGAGGGGUAUAUUUUAAUGAAAUCUUCUCACAUGCUGUAAAACACAAAUCAAUUAGAACCUUACUUGUUAUGGUGACUUUGCUUCAUGUAGAGCUUGAACAAAUGGAUAUAAAGACUGCCUUCUUACAUGAUAAUCUUGAAGAAAAGAUAUUAAUGUCACAGCCUGAAGGUUUUUAAGUAAAGGGACAUAAGGAUUAUGUAUGUCUUCUGCAUAAGUCUCUAUAUGGCUUGAAAGGGUCUCCUAGGCAAUGUAAGAGAUUUGACCAGUUUAUGAUCUCUAAUGGCUAUUACAAGAGCACAUAUGAUAAUUGUAUCUUGUUGAGUGUUAGAAAAUAUAUAUUUAUAAAGGAGAAAAUCGUCAUUUUACAUUUCAAGUCUUAUUAACACCCUUACUUUUAUGUAUUUUAAGUUUCUUGUGAUUCAAUUAUAUAUGUUUUAUUUUAAUUAAGUAUUUUAUGUAUUUUAGGGACAUCAUGGUCAUUUCACAAUGAACUAGAGAUCAGACGGCAAAACGGACAUCACUUUUGAACUCAGGACAGUCGAAAACCUUAGGAGGAGCAUAAAAGGAAAAAUAUCAUUGUUCACAUGUACGAUAUUAUUCACAUGUACGGUAUUGUUUACGUUACUGUUCACGACACUGUUCACAUAGACGGAUCAAUGACGUGGCAUUGACCGAUGAUGUGGCAUUGACUGACGAGGUGACACGAUUCCAUUGGAGAAAAUUCUUAUGCACUGUUGAUUGGUGACGCGGCAGCAUAUCAGUGGACUAAAAAUCGCGCGUACAGUACAUGCAUAUACACAGGAUUAUUUUCAACCAAACCGUGUCACUAUUCAAACCAGUUGACUGUUCAAACCGUGUGGUCAAACCGUAUCACUGUUCAAACCGCGUGGUCAAACUGCGUACUGUUGACUGAUGACGUGGCGCAAUCCUGAGCGUUCAAACUGUUUUUAAUUCGAUAGCCAUUGUUUACUCAAUGUAUCUAUAAAAAUAGGACCUCUCCCCCCUAUUUUGAUAUCUCUGAAUUCAAUUUUAAGUUCCAUUUUCUAUAAUUCCUUCUCCAUCUUGUAUUUUCUACGUAUUUUAAUAAAUUCUUAUUUUGCUCCUAGUUCAAUUAUGAGUAGUUAAUUUUCUUUCAAGCUUGGGUUGAAGGUGAAGUCUCAACAUAUGUCAUGGGCUUUAUUUGGUAAAUUUAUUUUCUCUUCACCUCUAAUUUUUGUGGAUGUUUUGACUUUUCGUCGACAAAUAAUAAUAAUCUUGUCUAGAUACCGCACUGAUUUUACCGGCUCCCUAGUACAAAGUUAUUAUUAUUUGGUACGAUAAGCUCUUAGCACCAUAUUGAUUAGAGUGUGGUUCAUGAGGUGUGGAUUCCCCCCUCAUGAUUUAAUUGGCAUUAAUAAGAAAUAUUUAGCCCAUGGUGCAUGUUGAUGCGGAUCUAGAUACCCAAGCGCUUCAAUUAUUAUAGUUUCCAUUUUAAUUUAAUUCUGCCAUUUCAAUUUAAAUUUUAAGAUAUUCCAAAUCAUCUUUACCAUAAUUCCAACCACCCAUUUAGAAAAAUUAAUUCUACACACAAUUAAAAUCCACCUCCUCGUGGGAUCGACACUUGUCACCAUUGAUCUAUUCUAAAAUAGAUUCGUGCACUUGCGAGUUCAAUAAAAUUUGUACAACAUGUCUAUCAUAGGAACAUAAGCUCAGGUGGAGCUAUGUAUCUUUUGUUGUAUGUUGAUGAUAUACUCAUUGUUGGUAAAAAUUCUAGUGAUAUUGAGAAACUUAAGAAUUUAUUAAAGGGGGAAUUUGAAAUGAAAGAUCUUGGCAGUGCUAAGAUGAUCCUUGUUAUGGAUAUUCUUAGAGAUAGAGUUGUUGGUACUUUGUUUCUAAGCCAAUCAAGAUAUGUCAGUAAGGAGUUAGAAAAGUAUAUUAUGAUGGAUUCAAAACCUGUAAUGACACUUUUGGGAGCUCAAUUUAAACUCUCUAAUGAUAUGUCUCCAAUAUCAUAUGCUAAGAAAUUCUAUAUUUACUGGCUGUAGGAAGCUUAAUGUAUGCAAUGGCUUGCACCAGAGCAGACAUAGCUUAUGCAGUAAGUGUAGUAAGCAGGUUUAUGAGUAAUCCUGAUAAGCUUUAUUAGGAUGCUAUGAAAUGGGUUAUGAGGUACUUGAAACGUACUUUAGAUCAUGGUCUGGUGUAUGGCAAAUCCAAGCAAGAAGUCUAUGAAGUUAGAGGCUAUGUGGACUCUAAUUUUGCAGGUGACUUAGAUAGGAGAAAUUCUAUCUCUGGAUACCUGUUCAUGCUAGAAAAUUGUCUCAUAAGUUGGAAACUUACUUUACAACACAUAGUAGCUUUGUUAUCUACUGAGGCUGAAUUUUUGCUGCAAUAGAGGCAGUAAAAGAAUCAUUGUGGCCGAGAAGGCUACUGAAUGAAUUUUGGUUGAAACAAAAGACAAUUUAGAUCUUUUGUGAUAAUUAGAGUGCGAUUCAGCUUAUAAAAAAUGAAAUUUAUCGUGGGAGAACCAAACACAUUGAUAUGAAGUUGCACUUUAUCAGAGAUGAGGUCGCAAAAGGGUUUGUUGUAGUAACAAAAAUAUAUACAGAUAUCAACCCUACUGAUAUGUUAACAGAAGUAAUUCCAACAGCCAAAUUUAAGAUUUGUGUAGACUUGAUUGGUAUUGGAAAUGGUUCUAGUUGUUAAGUUGCGUGGUUGAAGGUUUUUUUUUUAAAGCACUUAUGGUCAAGAGUAAUGCUGAAUCAGAUCUGCAAGGUGGAGAGUGUGAGGACAUGAGUUAUGUUUUUGGACUAAAAUGUAAUCGAAUGAAAGUUGUUGGGUAAUGUGCAAAUCGACUUCAAAUGAGGAGUCAAUUUGUAAAUUCUGCGCUAAUGUGGCAAAAAGGUUAAAGGUUGUUAAGGUGUUUCUAGAAAAUUUCCAAAAUAUGAAAGGGCCUGCUGUGCAUUGCUUUGUGUGUGAUUUCUCUUUUGUUUCUUAGCUAAAAAAGGUGAUUCUAGAUUCUUUGGAAUCCUUGAAGUGUCCUCAAAACAAUUGAUCUGAUUGUAAAGCAUUUGAGUAAUGAGAUCUUGUUCAUUUUUCCUUUGAAACUUGGAAGCUUGUUCACUGUGAAUAGUUUUCUAGGUUCUUGUUUGACUGAAUCAUUUUCUGUUCUUGAUUCCAUUCUGUCUUUAAUUGAUCAAAGUUGUGUGAGUUGAUUAAUUUCUUGUUAAUAGCCAUUAAAAUACAACAGGAAAACUACCAAAACCUAACCCGAAAUUCGAAUGUUGCCAAAUCCUGAAUCUAAAUCCAAAUUUCUAAAUGUUGACAAAUCCUAAUCCUAACCCUAAAUCUGAUACUUGUUCAGCUUUGGUGGGAAAAUCUUUUAUAGAAGAUAGUUUUCUUCAUGGUUACGUUGGUGGUCUAUAUGAGGUUCAAACUAUGUGCGUACAAUGAAUUCAAGACCUUUAAUAAGGUUUAAUUUAAAUUUAUAGUGAAAGAUUAUCGUGUCUAUCUAAGGAAGUGAAAUCUUAUACUUCCAUUUGGGAACUAGCUAGCUUAUCGAAACAAGUUUUGAACAAUUUAAUUAUUAAUGUUCAAUUUUGAUGUACUGAUCUCGGAAGUUGGAAUAAUGGAGCACAAUUAAUUAAUUUCCUUGAUAUUUAAUUAGAAUGUGAAAUCUUUAUUUCUCUUUUGGGGAAGCUAAUUUAUUGCUGCAAGUUUUGCAACCUAAAAAUAGGUUCCCUUACUGUUAAAGUAGAUUGUCAAUGAACCGCUGUUAUUAAGUCCAAAAAUCAUAAACAUAAAUUGUAAAAUAAUUUAUUGUAGAUGACAAAAGAUGUAUUGGGCCGGACUCAACAAAGGGUGCGUUUUUUAUUUGGAAUCAGUGGAUGUCCUAUGGAACGCCUCAAGGUCCACUAAACAGCCACACAACUGUUAUGGUAAAAAAUGUUUUCAGGUCAGCGGAAGUUUUUUUGAAUAAUCAAUGGAGGAAAGUAAAAAAUACCCUUAGUUUGUAAGUGAAAUUACUACAUAUUUAUUUUGUUAUAUCAUUUAAGAUCAUGUCUUUUUCUGGUUGACGUGCAAUCUUGGCCAUGAAAUGGGACUCUUUAUUGCUUGAACAAUAGUUGAAAGAACUAAUUACUAAUCACAUGAUUUGUGGUUUAUACCUCCAUCAGCCAGAAUCAUACAAUUGUAAACAACUAUUGUCGUGUAGAAAAAAAUCAAGAAUAAAGUUAAUUUGUAUGUUUUUUUUUUGCCAUAAGAUAUAUAUAUAUAUAUAUAUAACUGAUUUGUUCCUAUAGAUUAUGAUAUGUUUGUAAACAACUUUCAGGUUGAUUUGCAAUUGAAAUAUUGUUCUCGUCUGCCAUAAAUUAAUGGAUUAUUUUUGUUGUUAAUUGACUCGUCUAUGAAAUUAAAGAAAACUGGAAAUACUUUAGAGCCAUAAUUUCUUUAAAAACUAGUUAUUAAUUUGAUAAAUGAUGAACAUUCAAUUCUUUAAUUGGAUAAAACUUAAAGCCUGCAGAUAAUCAUACAUAUUUUAGGCAAUUUUCUUUUGCUCAAAUAUUAUAAUGUGAAUGUGAAUGAUGUGGUGCUCCUAAAACACCCAACGCCCAAGACUUUUUUAUAAUAGAGUAAAUUUAACUUAGACAUGUUUGGCAACGGAGUAAAGUUUGGGGAUUUUGUUAUGUAUGCUCAACUACUUUGUGCACUGAGUUCUAUCAAGGUAAGCACUGUACAGUCCAUUAUCAGACUCAGACAACUAUUAUAGUGUACUCCUCUUUCUUGUCAUAUUUUUCCUUUUCAAACGUAAUUAAAGAAAUUACAUAUUCAAAUGAAAUGACAUACCAAAAGGAGCCUAGUCAUAAGUCCAGCAAGCUUUAUCAUUCAAAGUAGCCCCAAUUGUGAUUUGUCAGAAGGCUUAGAAUGAAGGACAAAAAUCCCAAGAGAAGAGCCUAAUAAAAAAUUAGAGCAAAACAAUAAUUCCAUUGACCGAUAUCAUUUAUAAAAGAACCUUUGAAAAAAAGAAAAUUAUGCACUUUUUAUUUUGGGCGAUACGAGAUGCUUUCCAAACAGCAUGUGUUAAGAAAUCCCAAAAAUUGUACACGUGUAAAAAAUUACUGGCUGAUUCGACGGAUGAGGUUGGCUUUUUGCCCCUUUUUUUUUUUUUUGUCAGGAGGAUGUGGUUGGCUUUUCAUACAAAUAAGGGCAAAUUACCCUAUUUAUAAAUUAGUAAAAGGGACACUUGGAAUCCUUCUAAGUUCAUUUUAAAAAAAAAAAAAAUUCUGAAAAGCUAAUGUUUCUUAUCCGACAAAGAGAACUUUUAUCUUCUUAUCAUGAUUUAUGAAUACUGAUUUUGAUGUUUUCAAUCCAGCUCAGAAAUUUUUUUUCCUUUGAUCAUGAUUCAUGAACAAUGUGUUUGAUGCUUUAACUGUGCAGUUUUCAUCUCCCCAGGUGGAAAGUUUUGAGUAAAAAGUCAUAGAUUUUCUUUGAAUCUUUUAUUAAACUUGUCAAAAGAACAUGCUACCGACAUUACAAAGAAAAUCUGUUUUCUUUUUUUCCCGUUUUUCGGGCAGCCGAAUGCAAUCGAAACAAGUUUCGUACCGUUGUAAACUUGUAUACUUGAUGGUCCCAAUCAGUGGCUGCCUGUUUCUAAUAUCGAAGUAAAAAAAAAAAAGUUAUUUUUCCGAUUGCAGAUAUAUUUAUUUUGAUUAAAAUUGGCUAUCACAAAUAGAUUAAUGCAAAAUUGGUCAUCAUGUGUUUGAUUAAUUUAUCCUAUUUUUCGUUAUUAGUUUUAAGCUUUUCUUUCAAGUUUUUUUUUGGGACAAAAUUUUCAAAUUUUCUAUGGCCAUAAUCAUAUGUUGGGGUUUGUAUCAGAAAAAAGUUUUUAAGUAUUUGUAUGGAAAAAGACAACUUAUCCUACGUGAAAGUUUUAGAAGCUCCUUUGAUCGGUUAGAUUUUUAAUAAGGAUAUUUUCUAAUUAAUUUUAUAAGUAUAUAUAUAAACUUUUUUUUUUCAUGUGGACAGCUUAUUGUUUAUUUCAUAUGCCACGUUAUUGAGUCAUAUGAUUUAAUAAAAUUAGUACAAACAUAUUAUUAAAUUACAUGAUUUUAUAAUAUAUUAAAUAUUGAUUUUAUUAAAACAGAUGAAACCCUUGUACUUGAGAAUGAAAGUUUGUAUACAUUAGGACGUCACCAAAAUAUUUUGAGAUAUUAAAUUGAUUAGUGACACACCAGAAUAUCAAUGCCGAGAAGAGAACGAGAAGAACUAGUGUGGAGAAAAGGGUACAAGAAGAAUUGCUUUCAUUUCAUGGACCCAAAUUUACGCCGCUAAUUGAGAACGGGAGUUAGUGGAAGGCUUGACUUUUCAGUUUCGAAGAUAUACAUAAAUAUUUCAGUAUUUAUAAACGGAAAAUAUUAAAAAAAACUCAGAUGUUUGGACUGAUUAUUAAUUUUUACAUUGUGAUAACUGAUAUCACUAAAAAAAGGAAAAAGAAUUAAGGAAAGAAAGGAAAUUAAGUUAUAAAGAAAUUAGGGUAUAUAUCCUAUAUUUUAAUUUAAAUAUCUUUUUUGUCCACAUAUUUUAAAAAAAAAUGUAAAGACAUCCUAUUUUAAAUAUGUUACGAUCUUCCUCUUAUUUUUUUCUUACCUUUUACAACAAUACUAACAAUAAUAUUUUUGGCAUUAAUUUUUUAUCUAAAAAAAUAAAUAGCAUAUUAACCAAUAUAUUAGAAAAUUAGAAAUAAAUAUCAUUCUACAACAACUAGUAACCAUUUAUGAUAAAUUAAAACCAACUAAUUUAAAGCAAUGUUUAAGCUAAGUUAAUUUUUUGUAAAAAAAAAUUAAUUACCAAAUUAAUCCUAAAAUUAAGAUAACAAAAAAUAGAUAGAGUAAUUUUUAUCUUACUUUUAAGACUAAUUUGAUAAAUUCAUUUUUUUUUUCUUUUCAUUGAAUCUCCAACAAUAUUAUUGUAAGGGUAUUAUUCUAAAAUCAAAGAAAAGAUCAGGGUAGGAAUGUAAUAUAUUUACCAGUAAAGAUGUCUUGAAAUAUUUUCUAAAAUAAAGAGAUUAAAUGGAUACUUAACUGAAAAAUACACAGACCAAAUAAGUAUUUAGCUGAGAAAAUAUGAUACCAUGUUAUUAGUUAUUAAUUAACAAACCUAAAAAAAUUUAAAUCACUCAAAUGAGUACAAACCACAUAUUUUUUUGUUAAAAUUUGUGUAAAGUCUAGUGCAUGUGUAUAUAUAUAAACAAAGUAGGUAGAUAAUUAAAAAUAAACAUGUCUGAGUUUCAAUAUCUGAAAGCUCGAAACAAGUAUGAGUUUAAGAUUUUCCAAUCUACAAUUAAUUCAGUUACAUUAAAAAACAAAUUUCCUCAAAAUUUAUUGAAAAUUAGUUAUUUAAAAUUAUAUUUUGUACAAUUAUUAUUCAAAUUUAAUUUGAAAAAGUUUAAUAUAGAUGGCGGUCAAUCAACAACCCACUCGAAAGAUUUGAUUUAUUUUCUUUUAUUUUAUUUCUAGUUCUUUUGACAAGUCAAGCCAGCUAGAUUUCAAGCCACAACAAAUGCGAAGUCUAGAAAAACCUAACAAGAGAUAAACUCUAUGUUCAAAUUUAUCACAAUUCACCAGCACGUGGCAGACAUAACGUCCAUUUUGCACUCUAUAAAUACCGUACUCCCAUCACCAACAUUUGCAUAUCACUCACAUUUCUCUACUCCUAAACAAAAUGGCUCCACUUAACAUGAAAAAAAAUAUUGUAACCUUUGCUCUUGUGGGCAUUCUUGCCCUAGCUUUUCCCACCAAAGUAAUGUGUCAAAAUGUUGCUAGCAUUGUGACUCCCCAGUUCUUCGACGGCAUAAAGAAUCAGGCAGCCGCGAGUUGUGCCGGCAAGAGCUUCUACACGAGAGAUGCGUUUCUGAAUGCUGCCAAGGCUUAUCCUCAAUUUGGUAGCGGCUCUCCUGAAGUUUCGAAGCGUGAGAUUGCUGCAUUUUUUGCACACGUCACUCAUGAAACUGGACGUAAGUUCUCUCCAUUUUAUUUCUUUUUGCAUGCAAAGUAUUUAUGAGCAAUCCAUGCAUAGAGAAGAAAACGACUUUUCUUUGUUUUAUUAUUUUCAAAACCGUUUUUGAAAUUUUUUAAAACUAUAUCCCCCAAGGUUGGAAUGAACAUAAUCUUUUUAAUUACAUGCUUUAUAUGUAUUAAAUAAUGUUCUCAGUUUGUUGAACACAUAAAAGUUUUCAAUAAAACUAAUUGAAUACUCCAACUUUUAAUUGAUAUGAUUUGCCACUAGCCAAUUAUCUUGAUUAAGCCCGGAGAGAAUUAAUUAGAAAAAAAAAUGUCUGGCUUUUUCAGAUUUGUGCUACAUAGAAGAGAUUAACAAGUCCAACCGGUACUGUGAUGAACAAAACAAACAGUACCCAUGUGUUCCCGGAAAGUUCUACUACGGCCGUGGACCGAUCCAACUCACCGGAAAUGGAAACUACGGAGCUGCCGGAAAAGCCAUCGGGUUUGACGGAUUAAGAGCUCCGGAAACGGUGGCCAAGGACCCCGUUGUGUCAUUUAAGACUGCCUUGUGGUUUUGGAUGACCAAUGUGCACCCAGUUAUGAACCAAGGUUUUGGUGCAACAAUUCAGAGAAUCAAUGGUGCCGUUGAAUGCGGUGGCAAGCAACCUGCUCAGGUUCAAGCUCGCAUUGGAUAUUAUAAGGAUUAUUGCAACAAAUUUGGUGUUGCUCCUGGCCCAAAUCUCUCUUGUUAAAAUGUUUUCGCCGAUACUUCACUGGCUUGUUGAAAUAAUGUGGUGUAAUUUUAUAAUAUAGGGUGGUUUCAUAUACCUAAAACAAAAUAAAUUGAAGUAAUAAAAGGGUGUUGCCGACCAUAUUUUAUUGCUUAUAUGGUUUGUGAUUAAUUAUGCUUCUUGGAGAAACUCCACCUUGAUUUAGCUUUGGCUUUUUUUAGGAAAAGCAAUAUGAUAGAUGUUUGUCAGUGAAAAAAGAAACUAACUUUAUACAACGAGCAAUACUAGCUUUAGUGAUUGAUUGUCGGAUUGGACACCAACUUUAAGUAACCCAGCUUUUUCAUAACAUAAUAUUUGUAACAUACAACUUGAAAAAGAUGAUGAAUUAAUAACUUAAUAAAUGUAACAAAAAUUUUGAUAACAUGUGUAACAUAAAAAGAAGGUAACAAAUUAUUUGUCAACAAUAAUUGGUUCAGAACGAGACAAUUCACUUGCCAAAACAAGACAAUAUUUCCGUGGAAUUAUGCGGAGAAUCGUGUUAGAUAUUAGGACAAAGGAACCUAUGUGACAACUGUUGUACCUUUUUUUGUGAUGCUAAAUUUUAUUCAACCUCCUUACUUUCUUACGUAUUUAUAAUUUAUUAAAUAAAUCAAUAUAUUUAUAAGAUGGCUGAUAGCGGGCACUGGGCAGCUUUUGUUGGGGCUCCCAGUAAGCUAAAUCAACGAAAAUUGUUAGGAAAUUGACUGUGCUAACUUGUUGUUUACGAGACUUUUCAAGUCUUUAAAAGAUAUUGUUUUAUAUGUAGGUUAUGUUAACUUGUUGCUUAGGAGACUUUUUAAGUCUUUAAAAGAUAUUUUUUUCAUGUCUAGGUUAUGCCAACUUAUUGCUUACACGACUUUUGAAGUCCUUAAAAGAUAUUGUUUGAUAUGUAGGCUAUGCUAACUUGUUGCUUGAUUUAUUAAUUAAAAUUAGGGAGAAUGGCAUUCCGUCUAUCUUAUAAUUUAUUUUUGUGACUUGAGUUUCAAAUAAAUUUAUAAUUCAAUUUGUUCCAACUUUUAAACAGUGAAAAAAAUGCAUAACUAAAGGAUAAAUGAGAACUUUUCACAUACAAAUUGACUAUCCAUAAUUAUUAAAAUUAGUUAAUUAUUUAUUGAAGUUUAUAUUUUCUCUUUAACAAUAUUUUUUUCUUAUUAUUGUAACAUAAAGAAAAAUAGAGUCUUAAAAAUUAAACAGUGAUCUAAAUAUAUAAAAAUACAUUCUCAUAAUGACCUAAGUCUAGUCUCUUUUUAAAUAAAUCCUUACUUAAGUAAUAAGGAAACUGAUAUGAUAAAAUUGGAUCUAGUCCAACCACUGGUGCAUUUAUAAGCUAUAGUCGCGUACAAUUAAGACUUAAUUACAUAUAAUACAUAUUAUUUUUUACGUAUGCAAUAACUACCGAUCACCAUAUAUAUUUAAAAAGCUCAGCUAAUCUAAAUUCCCAUAUAUUUUUUUAUAAAAAUUAGAAAACUUGCCUGAAUUUGUCGGAUUAAAUUUCUGGUUACAGUCUCCUCACGCAACUCAGUUAGGCAGUCCAAACAAGAAAAGACAAGCAAAGAAGAAAAUAUUAGCCGACUACAAACUUGACCAGUCAAUUUGGUGAAAAGUAUAUACAAGACUUGAUUGAAUUUAUUAUAUUAAUUAUAGAAAUUAGUCUUCUGAUCUUCUAGACACGAAUUUUUCUAUGAAUUAUCAUUCUAUAUAAAGUGACGUGUAGCUAUUGUAUAACUGCAUGUGAUACAUCAUUUAUGCUCAUUAAUUUGCAUAGAUUUGUGUACUUAAAUUUAGCCAAUACAUUUUCAUGUCACAUUACUGCCACUAAAUCAUUCAUCAAUGAAAAUAGAAAAAGUUAUCCCAACAGGUCGUGGACGUAUCUUGCAAAUUAAUCUUUUACAGAAGAGAUCUUCAGAUCUAAUAAUAUAUCAAGUCUUGCGCAUAUAUAUGGUCUAGAGAAGAUAUUGCAAUUCUAUUAAUGAAAAAUAGGGAAAAAAAAUUAAGGCCGAUAACUCUCUUCAUGUAAAUUCAAUAUUGUUUUGUCCUUGUUUCCUUUUUGUUAUAAUUAUUAUUUGAUUGCUCAUGUGUAAUUGAAAAUUCAUAAUACUAAAUUUCUCUUAAAAUAAGCAGGCCCAAAUGGAAAAUAUCUUUGGCAAAAUUUUCCACAAAACUAUUUUGUUACAUUAAUUUAUAAGGUCCGCCUACCGUGCAACAGUUACACGGUACCACUGAAUUUUGUCUUUUUCAAACAAUUACACUACAUUACCCAAUAUUUUUAAGAAAACUGAAUAGAUACUAUAAGUUACAAAUUUUUAUAUAUAGGUCAUUUUCUCUGGAUAAAAUUAUAAAAUGACUUUUGAAAAAAAAAUUAACUGUUAUUAUUAGUAUUAUUUAUUAAUGUCAUUAUUAUUAUUAUUAUUAUCAUUAUUAAAAUUUAUUAUUUUAAUUGUUAUGAUUGCUUUAAUUAGUUAUCAUUAUUAUUAUUAUUUAUUGAUUUUAUUACCGUCACUAUUUUUAAAAUAUAUUAAAUUUAUUACUGAAUUAUUAUUGAAUUAUUAUUUUAUUAAUAUUAAUAAAUUUAUUAAUCUUAUUAUUCUAAUUAUUAUAUUUAUAUUAAUGUUGUCGUCGUCAUCAUCAUUAAACUUUAUAAUUUUUUUUUUGUUUUGACUAUUAAAUAAUACCACUGUCAUUAUUAUUAUUUUGCCUUAAUUAAGCAUUACAUAUAUUUUAAUUAUUUUUUUUAUUUUUAUUAAUUAUAAUAAAAAUAAAAAAAUAAAUUAUACUAUAAUAUUAUUUUAUUAUAUCAUAUUAUAUUUAUGUAAAAAUAAUUAUGCAAAUAAUAAUUUAAUAUAAUUAAUAAUAAAUUUAAAAAAAUUUAGUUUAAUAUUAGUACAAAAUUAAUGCAGUACAGGAUAAUACCAAUUACCAAAUGUUGUAUAAUUUUAUUAUAAUUAUUAUAAUAUACUGCUAAUGUAAUAUAAUAUAAUAUAAUACAUGUACAUUACAUAAUACAAUGCAAUAUAAUAUAAUAUAGUGUGCCAAACGGACCUUUAACUUUUUUAGUGAUGAUGGUUUAGAGGGAUGUAGAGAAAGUAAAAAUAAUCAUGGUAGAUCUUUUACAAUGGUUGAUUAGCUAUUAUCACAAAGUUUAGGCUAAUACAAUAAAAAUUAACCAACUAUCCUAUAUUUAAAAGAGCAUUUGGAAAUCAAUAAAUUUAUUAUUCAAUUAUUUUUAAUCAGGAAUAAAUAAUAAAUUAUCAUUACAACAAGAUUGACAAGCUCAAAUAUCUUAAAAAAUGAUAAUCCUCAAGAAAUAUGAAGCUCAAAUGCUCUUGAAAUAUUCUUUAAAAAAAAAACUAACUUCCUUUCAUAUUAUUCUUUAUUUAUCUUUCUAUAACUUUGUUGGGCUAUAUAUAUAUUGAUAUUUUAUAGGUAAAUUAACAUAUUGUAUGUAUAAAUAAACUAACAUAUCAACUAAUGCUAAAAACAAAAAUGUAAUAAAAAAGUAAAGUUUUGUAAUAUUAAAAUAAUAAAAUUUUACAACCUAAGACUUAUUUAUUUAUUUUACAUUAAAUAUAUAUUAAAUAACAAAAAAUAUUAUUUACAUUUAUCAAAUUUUCAUGUGUUUAAAAAUUUUAUGUGAUAUUACAUUAUUAUAUUUACACCAUCAAUUAUUUUUAUGAUCAAAUUAAGUCAAUAGAUCAAACUUUAAAAAAUUUAAAACAACAGAAAUUAUGUAAGUGAAUACUUAAAACUUUUAACUUUUAUAAUUUUGUAGUAAAUAAUAGGAACUUAAGUGUUAAUAACUAAUUGAACACAUCCUAACUGUUGAACACUUUAGCUAUUGAUCCAUUGGCUGAGUUGAAAAAAGAUAAAAAGUGGGGUACCGUGCAACUGUUGCACGGUAGGCGGACCCUAAUUUGUAAUCUAUUUUCGCAUCUAUCAACUCAAAAUAUGGCACUAAAAAUUAAAAGUGGGUCUGAACAUGGACCCAAAUAAGUUAAAUAAACGAAUAUACAUUAUAACUUAGGACACUUGGGAUCAUUAUAGCAAUUGCUUACUGAAAACGUUUAGAAAAUUUUAAGACGAUGGACCAUUUUAAUUGCCUGACACUGGAAAUUGCUAUUAUCACGUGAUGGUAAAGUUACAGGAACGGAAUUUUUGUAAAGUACAAAUGUAACGUACUGUCAUAACCGGCAAUGCCAAAUUUGAAAUAUUUAUAAGUUUUCAAGAGGUUAUCAGAUGACAUUGUAAAUGAUUGUGAUGGCUUUUUUACAAUUUCAAGUUAAAAUGAAAUUUUGGAUGUUAUCUAAUUGUUUUCUUCAUCAUUUCACUGUUACAUAAUUGUCAAUGAUUGUGAUGGCUAAUUUACAAUUUCAAGUUAAAAUGAAAUUUUGGGUGUUAUCUAAUUGUUUUCUUCUUCAUUUCACUGUUACAGAAUGAUUUGAACAAAGACUACGAGUUCGUUAUAUCAAUUUGAACUAAACUUUGUAAGUAUAACACUAAGAAUUUUUCGUGUGCCACAAUUUGCGCAACUAAUUGAGGGGUGGACUAGAUUAGUUUUGACAGCUAGAAUAUAAUUUGACUGACUUUACGAUAUACAAAAAUAUUGAUCACAAUUCUUCAUCAUUCGGUGCCAACGUUUACAUUUUUCGAAAGUAUACAUUGAACAAUAAUAGCGUAUAAUUUGAUUCACUGUAUCUAUAUACUUGAAAUAGACUAUUCAUGCGGCUUGUCAUUUUUAUUAGAAUCACACUACGUUACAUUAAACGUAACGUACACACACUCACAGCAACAGUAACAGGUCUCAUUUUGUUACUGUUACUGUGAGUGUGUGUAUGUUACAUUUAUAUAGCACUCGCCUUUUUAUUAACGUCUAACUUCUUCAAUUCAAUGUUAAAUCACUAUCAAUCAUAAAAUAUUAUUAUUUUACAUUUUGUGAAAUAGAGACCUCACAUUAGAGCCAAGGGUAAAGCUAUGGUACCACAACUAGAUCCAACCAUUAGAUCAAGCCCACAGUUGUCACUAGAACUGGAUCCAAUGGCUGGGUCCAGCUAUAGUACUAUAUAACUGUGGCACCCUAGCUGGACCCUAGAGCCAAACUGCAUAACGUCCAUAAAUUUUCAUUCAUAUCUCUUCAAUUUUUCAAAAUUUUCAUGUACAGAUCAAGUCAAGGUAAGUCUAUUGGAACCGUAUUCUACACGAACGAAAAGUAGGCACAAAUUAUUAAAUGUCCAUAAAUUUUCAUUCAUAUCUCUUCAAUUUUUCAAAUUUUUCAUCUACAAGUCCAAGUCAAGGUAAGUCUAUAGGAACCGUAUUCUACACAAACGAAAAGUAGGCACAAAUUAUUAAAUUAUCACAGGAAAAAGAGGUAAAAUACUUGUUUACUACCUUAUAUUUUGAGUUAAAUGUCCAUUUAAUUUUUAUAUUUUAAAAAAUAAUAUAGGAUAUUUUUGUCAUUAAUUAUGUUACAGAUUUACAGUUAAAAGUUACUUUAUCUUUGUUUUACAAUAAUAUUCUGCAAAUAUUGAAUAAUAUAAGAUAUAGGCUCAAGCAACAAUCUAUUGAAAAAAAUAAACGUUAAUUUUUUAUCUUUUUUAAAGUUAAUUUGUUAAAUUAACCUUUUUUUUUCAUUUCAUUAAUGUUCACGGAAUUGUUGUUUUGGUCCACAUACCCUGUUAGUCAACAUCGCAACAUUGCAAGGGUAUUAUUGUAAGAAUAAAAAAAUAAUAAAAUGUGACAUAAAUAAUGACAAGAAUAUCUUGGAGUAUUGUCUAAAGCAUAUAUUUAAUCCAAAAUAUAGGGACUGGAUUUAAACAUAAGAGCUCUAUAAAACCCUUGCUCUAUGAAUCAAUUUUGCACAUCACAACUUCUCUUUUUGCUGAGCUUAAAAAAAUUCCUCUCAAAAUGGCUCUGUUCAAUCUUAAUAAAGAUUCACCAACCUUUCUUUUGUUUGCAAUUUUCACAUUGGCUAUUCCCACAAUUGUAUUGUCUCAAGUGGCCAACCUUGUGACACCAGAAUUCUUUGAUGGGAUAAAGAACGUAGCCGAUCCAAGCUGUGCAGGCAAGAGUUUCUAUACAAGAAAUGCUUUUCUUAAUGCUGCCAAUUCAUAUCCUGAAUUUGGAUCUGGUUCUGCUGAUGAAUCUAAGCGUGAAAUCGCGGCAUUUUUCGCUCAUGUCACUCAUGAAACUGGACGUAAGACUUCUGUCCUUGCCUUAUUCAUUUUGCCCUUAUUCUUUGGUAGUCCACAGGGGUAUGAUAAAUUUUGUGCGUUCUAACAUGCAAGAAUUGAAUCUUAAACUCACUCGAGAACCUCUCUUCGUCGAGGGAAUAAUUUCACAUUGGCUGAGAAUAGUGCUUACUUUAUAAUAAGUUUGAGAUGAUCCACUGCUUUUAAACUAAUUAAUUUUUUUUUAUCCAAAAUAUUUAUGUUUCAACUAGGAUGAGGUUUUUCUCCUAUUCCAAGACCGGUGGCGUUGGGUUGGAAGGAGAUGAGGGGGGAGAUGAAAGUAAUUUGAAUUUAUUUUUCAUUUCAGUUGUUUGGUUGGUUAUAAUCUAUAAGAAUUUAAUCUCUAUUAAAAUUUAAUAUCUAUCAUAAUGUUAAAUUUGGAUUCCACACCAACGAAUGAAGAAUUCAAAAUCCUCCUCUACUGGAAACCAAAACUUCCAACUAGCCCUUCAAUCUUCAUGAACUUGUUUAAUGUUAUGAGUAAUUAUUAUUUAUAAUUCUGUUUUUAUCAGCUUAAUAUUAUAUAUAAUUAAUUUUAUAUGAAAUAAAGUUAAA